AUUAAAAAAAAUACCUUUUUUUAGUAAGUACUUAAUUGAUAUUGUACUUGGCCCAACUUCUCCUUAAAAAUGUUGAGAAAUUGAAAGAGAAAAAAAAAAACGGGUUAAACGGUAUCUUAAUCUCCUAGAACGGCAGUGUAGAAGCAACUGAAUUUGGGAGAAAAAAAAAAUUAGAAAAUAGUUAAAAAUAAAAAAAUUGGAAAAUAGUCAAAAUUUUUAAAAAAUAUGAAAAUUGGAAAAUAGUUAAAAAAAAAUCGGAGAGGUAGCACUCAACCAAGCAAUACUCUAAAAAAAAAUAUGCAUUAGCAUAACAAAAUCAGACAAACGAACAUAAAAUAUUACUUUAAACGUUAAUGUGCGUGUGUGUAUAUUCACGAGGUUGAAGAAAUGAAAUAAAAAUAUUUGGUAUCACUAAAUGACAGCGUGAAUAAAAAUAUUUGUGAGGUUGUGAUGAUUAAGCAAUAUUGAAAUUAAAUAUAUAAGUGAUAAAAAGAUAAUAAAAUUCUUUUAAAAAAAAGAUAAUAAAAUUAAAUGGAACGGUUCAAAAAAAAAUAAAAUAAAGUUAUAUGAAAAGAAAACAUAUUGAAAUAUAAUAUUAAAAAAUAAAAGAAAAGGUUUCCAGCGUGAGUUGAAAAGAGGUGCUUGUGAAAUAUAUUGUUGAGAAGUAGUUUUUUAAAGUGGCAUUCAACAACUUUUGGCUAAAGCUCAUUCCAUUCAAUUUUAUGCAUUAAAAAAGUUCCUUUCUAGUAAGCUCGUUUGGAUUAGCUUAUUUUAGAGCUUAUAUAAAACAACUUAUGCAAAUAAAUACAUUUUUAUGUAUUAUUUAUAAGUUUUUAAGGUAGUUUAUGAAAAAAUGGGUUAUGAAAAUGCAAUUUUCGUUAGUCAGAACUUAUAGAUUAAAAUAAAAGCUUAUCUAUUUACAUAAGCUAUUUUUCAUAAGCUCAAAAUAAGCUCAAACCAAACGGGGCCUAAGUACUUAAUUAAUAUUAUGUUUGACCUAACUUCUCCUUAAAAACGUAGAGAAGUAAAAAAAAAGUCGGGUCAAUGGUAUCUUAAUCUCCCACAACGGUAGUGUAGAAGCAACUGAAUUGGGAGAAAAAUUGAAAAAUAGUUAAAAAUAAAAAAAUUGGAAAAUAGUUAAAAGUUUUUAAAAAUAUAAAAAUUGAAAAAUAGUUAAAAAAAAUCGGUGAGGUAGCACUCGACCAAGGAACACUAAAAAAAAUUAUAUGCAUCAGCGUAACAAAAACACAAACAGACGGACAUAAAAUAUUACUCUAAACGUCAAUGUGUGUGUGUAUACAUUCGCAAGGUUUAAGAAAGGAAAUAGAAGUAUUUGGUAUCAUUAAAUGACAGCGUGAAUAAAAAUAUUUGUGAGGUUGUGAUGAUUAAAUAAUAUUGAAAUUAAAAUAAUUGAUAGUGUGUUUGACCUAACUUCUCCUAAAAAAUGAAGAGAAGUUGGAAAAAAAGCCGGGUCAAAUGAUACAUUAAUCUCCCACAACGACAAUGUAGAAGCAACUUAAUUUGGGUGAAAAAAUUGAAAAAUAGUUAAAAGUUAUUAAAAAUAUAAAAAUUAUAAAAUAAUUAAAAAAAAGGUGAGGGGCAAAAUGGGAAAUCCACCCUAAAAAUGAUGAGGUGGCACUAACCACACCCCAUCAAUAGAAAAUUACAAAAAUGCCCUUCUUAGGGACAAAAUGGUAAAAUCAUAGACAUUUAAUUUUAUAAUAUAGUAAGUAGAUAAAUAUUGUAAUCCCUAGUGUAACACCCAUUUAUUCCCUAAAAAAAGAGUACGCCAUUUAUAUUCUUGGUUGUUAUAAUUUGUAGGUUGUAUGGGUGAUUUCUUUUUAUUAUUGGUUUGUUUCUUACAUUAUACGUAGUGUUUGUAUUUAUUUAUUUUUAUUUUUUGUUUUGUUUUCUCUUUUGAGAAUUUGUACUUCUCUUCGCUGAAAGCAAUCUAUAUGCAGAUGUUUGUGCGUGUGUGUGUGUGUGUGUUUUUUUUUUUAAAGUUGAAUCAACUUUAAUAAAGAGAAGGAUAUAUAUCCCCUCCGGCGACAAUAGUGCUGCUGUUGUGAUUUUGUGUGUGAGGAGAGAAAAACCAUAAAUAAAAAAGGAAGAAGUAAUGAUGAGAGAGAGAGAGGAAAUCAUGUGAGAGAUAAGAACAUAAAAGGGCACUAGGAAGUGCAGGAGAGAAAAGUGUUGCAGAUGAUCCAUAUCCCAAACAUCUAGUAAUGUUUUAGCCUAUUGACAAAUGUCGAUUCUAGUCAAAAUUCCUCUUUCUGUGUGUGUCAAAUUAAUGCCCAAAUGUCAAGCAUUUAUAGUAUAUUAUAUGACCCUUCACAUGAGAGAAAAUACACCCCUUUGACUUGAAUGAAUAAUAUGGUUCAUUAAGCACCCCUUUGCCGAAGGUUGCGAUCAUAUACACUUGAAUCAAUGCUAAGGUUCAUUAAGCACCCAUUUGCCAAAGGUUCCAAUGUAAAUGAAUGAUUUUCAGGAAGAGUUGCAACUCUUGAUGAAGAGUUACAACUUUUGGUUCUAAAGUGAUUCCAUUAUUUUGAAAAUCACCAACAAGUUUUAUCUUUGGAUCCAAUGCCUCCUAUAUUCCCUGAUUUACCUAAACAUACAAAGGGAGUUGCACAAAUUGAUUCAAAUGUAUAUGUACCUCCAAUUCAAUCUCAACAUGUGUUAGCCGCAAAAGAAACAAGCAUAACUUAUUAUUGUUCGCAACUUCAGAAGGAAUUUUUUCUUGUUAGAAAAUAUCUUAUUCAAGAUAAAGAUGUCGACGUCCCUUUUAAGCGUUAUCUAAUGAAGAAUCGGAAGAAACAACUAAACAAACUCAAUUCCUACAACAUUCGAUCCAAGGGCGAACUCAAUGAUGCUUAAGCAACACCUUUUCUUCUAGGACCAUUUUUCUUUACUUUUCUUAUUUCAUUUUUCCUUGCUUUUCGAUGGUUUUAGUUUGGCCCCCCCUCCUUGCAUAUAUAUUUUUAUUUUUUUAAUAGUGUAUUAUAAGUAGCUGAUGAUAGAACAUCAUAUGAUAUUUUAUGCUAUGUUUUUAGUUAUUUUCUUUGCAUUUGAAGGCAAAUUAGAAGUUAUUUAUAGGAGUUGUCAAUGGUUUGAGGAACAAAUUGUAAUGUUUUCGUUCGAGUCAUUGUAAUUUACUUUUACCCAAAAUCAUGCAACUACAUAGGUAUUUUGAGUCUUUUUAGUGAGAAAUCAAGUGAAGGAUUAAGGAUAUGAAUAUUGAAGAUCAAUGGUUCUUAGAGGGUUUUUGAGGACAAUAAAAGUGUACAAAAUUAAUUUCAAGUUCCAAGUCAUUGCAAGACGGAAGAACGCUCGAAAAAGGAACGAAAACUGAAAAUUGGCACACGCGGGGUUGGCUCAUGUGCCUCUGUGCAUGGGUCAUGCGCUCCUGCGCGGGCACAUGUGAUACCAUUCCUUUAUGUCCCAUAUGCCCUUGCGCCUCACUUCAUUCUCGCCGCACAUGAGCAUGCCUUGGGAGUGCUGGUUGCUUUAUUUUUAAGUUGUUUUCAGUGGAAAACUCUAGUUUUUCUUCUCUUAACCCCUAAGUAAUGAUGUACCCAAAAUAGAGACCCUUGCACACACAUUUAUUCAUUCAGAAUACUAGCUGUACAAGGCAAGGGUCAAGCAUCAUAGCUCCAAGGCAUAUGAUCUACAUCCUCCUUUUGUUAUCGUUAGGGUAUGUUUUUAUAUUAUUUUGCAAUGAUGUCAGUUUCCAUGAACAACUAAGCCUAUUUGAUUAGGGUUUCACGAUGAACACCUUCUUAUUUGUUGUUUUCAAUUAAUAAAGUUUUUUAUUUAGUUGAUGAUCUAAAGUAUAAUUUAAUUUGGAUAUGUUUGUUUCUAUACUUUAUCUAUAGAUGGAGUUUAGUAGGAUUAACAACCCGAAUUCCAUUCAAAGAAGACAGUAGUGAAUUGUUUAGUUUCUAAAUUCAAUUCUUGUAAUCAAAUGAAAGUAUGAAUUUAGGGGUAUAACUCAUCUUAAGGGAACACUGCAAUUGUAACUGGUUAAAUUGCAGAGAUAAUAAAUAAACUUCCACUGAUUCAUCAGGGGAUUAUGUUCUAAUUUCUUAAAUCCAAAGAAACAAGUCAUAAACUAAUAAUUUAGCAGAGUUAAUUCCAAUAAAGACAGAAGAGGGGAUUUAAGGAUUCCUUAAUCGAUGUUACACUUCUGAAUCAACAAACCUAAUCUCACAUUGGAUAGGCCAGUUAAAAUUCUGCAACCACCUUUCAAUCAUCUACUUUAUUUGCUUUUUAAAUAAAUUCCAGUAAUUACUGAGUUUAACGACAAUCCCUGUUGUGACGAUAACUUACUGUUUCAUUACUUAUACGAUUUGACGCACUUGCCUAAACUAAUCCAUCAGUAACCGACAUAAGAUGGAAGAAUAUGUCAUUCAGACUCAACUUGACGCUUCCCCUAUCUCUUGAUCUAUAAAAAAAACAUUAUCUAAACUUUGAUAAAAUUAAUUAAAUUUAAAUAUUCAAGCAUCUAUUACUUGAAUUCCCAACAUUAGUUUUAUAAAAUACAUUGCAUAAAAGUCAUUAUAUUUUAGAUUUCAAUUUAUAAAUAAAUAUAUUGUUCUAUCAAAAAAAUUAUAUAAUGUUACCUCUUCUACGCGUUACUUAUACAACUAAGUUUUCUAUUCAUUCAUUGUUGUUUUUUCUCUUUUUAAUUUUUUCCUCUAUAUAUUACGAAAGGCUAAUAUAUAUUAUAUAAAAUAAAUUUUAAUAAAAAAUAACAAACUUUGAUCAUCAUAAAAAAAAAAAAUAUGUGAAAAAACGUACACGUUACUCAAUAACACACUCUCUCUCUUCCCAAACACUAGGUGUCACCAUUGUUCUUCUUGUUCUAUCAAAGAGGGGAGAUUUAUGAUCAAUUUUGAUCCAAAAUCGCCAAUCCGAAUUGUUUUUCUUAGUUAAAUAAGUGAAUUUCACAUAUUCAAUCUUAUUUUGUUUUUGUGAUUUCAUCAUCUUUGCACCACUUUAUUUGUUUUGAUUUCUCGUCUUUGUGCAAUGUGUUUUUGAUUACACGUCUUAAUGUGGUGUUUAUUUGAUUCAAGUUGAAAUAUUAGCUUUGAGCAAGUGCAUAUUUAAUCAAUGACUUUUGCGUUGUCAACGUUGUUGAUCUGAGAACAUGAGUUCGUAGAUUUGAAUAUAGUUGUAUUUGUAGGCAUAAGUACUAUACGAUUUUAUGCUAUUAACAUGAAUGUUGUGACUUUAUUCACAAAUUCAUCCUUUUUGUUUUUGUGACUUAGCUUUGAAUUUGUAUUGUAUUGAUGUACUCUAUCAAAUUAAAUGAUUGAAUAUCGUUUAUUUUAAAAUAAAAUAAAAAAUGUGAGAUCUUUAGGAAGAUUAGUUGAUCGUUUGAGGGAGGUAACUUAUACACAAAGUAUAUUUAUCAUAAAAAUUUAACAUUAAUUCUGAUUUAAUAAAUGACUUCUUGCACAUCCUAAAGGAUUACAAAUAAAUAAUUGAAGUAGAAGAGUAACGCGUAGAAGAGGUAACAUUAUAUAAAUGGCUUUUUUGUUAAUCCCUUUAUAAGGAGAAUAGAUAAUGUUAUCCCUCUAUAAGUAUAAUUAAAGGGAUUAACAAAAUUUUAUAUAUUAUAUGCAAAGGAGAAAAAAUAUGGCUAAUAAUCACAUGUUGAUUUAUGCUAUGAUCAUAUGUCUUUUCCCGUAUCUUGUAGUAACCUUUAAGAGUUAGUCAUUUUUCGCACUAAUUUUGAAUUUAUAAUUCAUCUUUUACAAAUUCUUAUAUCAUGUUUGUAACACCAUUCUUCCUUAUUAAUGCAGCUGCAAUUACAUGCGAUUGUAACGAAGACUGUCUAAAUUUUUUUACACCUCUUGAUAAUUUGAAGUGCAUUGAUAAUGUUUGUGAGGUCUUCAUGUAAGGUUAUAAUUGUAUUUGUACUUUUAUAUUUUACUUUAAAAUUUAAUUUAUAUUUCUCUAGCCCUUCAGUUUUUAUAACAAGCUCUACAAUGUAUCAUUAUAUUAUGGUAGUAUUUGUACCUUAGUUUUCUCAUAGAUGAAAUCACAAACAACACCAUCCCUAAAUAAUAUAUAGUAAUAAUAAGAUACUAUUAUAAAGUAUCUCUUCCAUUAUGUAGAUUGAUUAUUUAUUCUUCUUUUACAUGUAGUAUGUAUUUAAAACAAAUCAUUGAAAAAAGCUAAAUGUAAGAGUCUUACGCCAUAAGUUCUUGCAAAUAAUAUAUCAUACCCAUUAAAUAGCAUAAAAGUUUGUUCAGAGAGCUCAACCUCUUAAAUGAGUCUUAGUUAUCUUGAGUGAUUAUUCUCUACAUUUUCUUACGGAAAAUACCUUAGUUUAUCCAACAGAACUGAAAAAAGAACGUAACAAUACGCGAAUGAUGUAUAUAUUUUUAAUGAAUAUAUCAAAUGUUUCUUUAAGUCUCAUAAAUAAAAGUAGCAUGUUUACGUUCCUAUAAAUUUUUUCAACAUGAAGUUUUACUCCUUGUUAAUUUAAAUUUGUUUAAUUAUUAUGGAACUUUGAAAGACUUUUUGCAGCCUUAUUUUUUUGGUUACAAAAAAAUUAGAAUAUUAACAUUAGAUUUUUUUUCAGCCUUAUUUAAAACCUCUCACAAAAAAUUAGAAUAUUAAUAUGAAAUGAAAAAAAUAUGAAUCUUUUAAACUUCAAAAAGUUCGAGAUAAAAGUAAUGAAAAUAUAUAAAUCAUAUUUUGCGCUAAUUUUUUAAGAAAUUAUUUUUAUAAUGUUCAAAACAUGUUUGAGAAAAAUCAAGUAAAAUUUAAAAGUAUAAAGAUAAUUAAACAAAUUUGAAUUUAGCACCAACUAAAAUUCUAUGUUGAAUUCUUUUAUGGAGACUCAAACAUGCCACUUAUUUUUAUGAGGAGAAAAAUCGAAAUUUGAUAUAUUUAAAGGGACUAAAAACCUACUAAAUCAUAUUUUUAAUAAAUUAUUUAUAAUAUGUAAGAGUUAAGACAAUCAUGUUUCUUUUGACACCAUUUGAACCUACAUAGAUAAUGUUUUCAAGAAUUACCAUACUAACAAGUAAGGAUUCUCUAAGUUUAAAAAAAGAAAUUGAGAGUCCAAUUUCUAUAAUUUUGAAGUUCAUACAAGAUAUAAAUGCAUACAUUUUAAAUUAGAGGUUAUUAACUGGAUAUUUACUCACAAAAACAACGUAACAGAGAUAUUUAUGUCUUUUUAAGAAAAUUUGAUCUCUACUAAGUAGCAACUAGGAUAGUCACCCGACAAGGCCCUGAUUUUAAAGUUACACUUCUCAAUUUAUAUUAAGAUAAUAAGGAUUCUAAAUUGAUUUUUAUAAAAUUAUGACAUAUAAGGAAAAAUUGUUUAUUUAUUAAGGGUUUUUUUAUUUUGCACAUGAAGUUUAAAUUGGUAACUUUGACUUGAAAUUUGUGCAUUUCAUAUUAUUACCCCUUAAAUUGACAAAAACACCCUUAAUUCCUUUUCUAAUUUUCAAUUAUUACUCUUGUUUUAAUUCUCUUUCUAUUCCUCACACCCCUUAACCUAAUUUCUUCCUCCAUUUCCUCUCUCACUCUUUGAUAGAAUAAUCAAUUGUUGCAACACACAAUGAUUGUAUAUGGCUUUCAAACAAAAUGUUUCAUGCCUAAGAAGAGUCGGUCAAUUGAUUCAUACUUAUAUAAGAAACUGAAGGUUGUUGUGAUUUGAAACCAUGUUAACUUAUAACUAAUUCGAGUUGGUAUAGCUAUAAUUGGUUCACGUAGGAUGCUAAACAUGAAAAAUGCAGUUGUGCACUCCCUGAUGCAGACCGUGCGUUUUGCCUGUCACAGCAAAACAACACUUUUCGUCGGUCCAUUUUUUAUUCCACUUUCACCGAAUUCGUUCCAAACACUUAAACAAUCAAUACUCAUCGAAAAAUAUAGUUUUCUAACCCAAAGCAAUUUAAUUCAAAUCACCCAAAAUAACUUAUUUCUCAAAAGUUCUUAAAACAGGUUUUUGAAGGUUUUUACUCAAAAACCUGAUUUUCACCCAAACGAUUCCUCUCCAAAACAUAACAAUUUGGAAAAACAAUUGAAUUAACAUAAAAAAAUGCAGCAAAUCAUUUAAUCACAUAAAAUUAAACAAUACAAUCAUUUCAAUGAAAAGCUUUGUACUUCAAUUUAACCUUUCAUUAACUUUGGUCCCGGAUUCAUGGAUGUUAGAUGUUUGUGAAAGAUUUGAAGAUUUAGAAUGAAACAUAAAAAAGGGUUUUGAAUUUUGUUAUGAACAUGACAAUUUCGGUAUUACCAUCAAAGUUUAAAGAGAUUUGGGUGUAAUCGGAUAUUUCUGGGUAACUAAAAUAAGUUUUUUUUGUAGCCUCUUGUUUUGAAUUUCUUUAACAAAGAAACAACACCCAAUAAUCCCAACACCAUGAUAAUUUUCAACCACUUGGUUCAUUAUGUUGAGCUUGCAACUAUAAUUUGAUCAAAAUGAUGAAAUUUUAAUAUAAUAACCAAAUUACAGAUGCAAGUGUUGGUCUAUAUGGCAAGAUAGGAUACACACUAGAGGGGGGUGAAUAACAUUUUACAAAAUUUAUCGAGCUUUUAGCGAAAGCGUGUUUGAAAACAAUUUGACUAAUUGGAUUUGUGCUCGAAACAAUAAUUAUGACAAAGAGAUUAAGACAAAGUAAAGCACAAUAAGAAUUACUAUUGAAUUGAGAGAUUCAAAUGCUAAAUCUUAAUACAAUCAAUGAUCAAUAAUGCUUACACAAUAUACAAAACAAGACGAUUCUCAAACCAAACCAAAGAGCAAUAAAUUGAGCAACAACUAAUGAACAAAAGGUAUAUGAAUUUGAUGAGUUGAACUUUAAUUGAAUUCUAAUGUGAUCAAUAUUAAGUUAAAAAGAAAAUUUGAUUCAAUGAAUCAAAACAAGGUUAAUGCUUAAAACAUAGAUCACAUUCAAAUCAAUAAGGUACAAUCAUCGAACAUUCAUAUACUCAAUAUUAAACAAAGUAAAAGAGGAAGGGAAGAAAAACAACACCGUGAUUUGAAGUGGUUACCCCUUUCGUUCUGGCUUUGGGAUACCUCCACCCUUCUUGAUAGAAAACGUCUCUAUCAAGCACUUCCACUAAAAUAGAAAUUUGCUUACAAUGUUGUGAUUACAAUAACUCCUUCAAUUACCCUAAUUUUCAAUUCCUAUGCAACCACUCUCCCAAUAUUAAAGUACCCCAUGAAAUUGUGUACUUUCAGUAUUUGUGAUUGUUAAUUGUCUUUUACUAGCCCGAGAGAUCAGAUUUUCACCAAUGAGUUUACAAUUUCACUCAUAUUUUUUCUUUCAACUUUGUCUCGAACAUAUUCAUCAUAACAUAAUCCAACCAGCUAGUAAUGUUGAGAUUUCUUAUAAAGGAAACAAAUAUUAGUAGUUCCUUUCAUAUAUCUAAAGAUUCUCUUAACAACAGUUAAGUGAGUUUCUUUAGGAUUUGAUUGAAACCUAGCACACAAGAAAUAUCAGGUCUAGAUGUAGUUAGGUAGAAAAGAGAACCAAUUAUACCUAUGUAUAACUUUUGAUCUACCUUAUCGCUUGUGUCAUCUUAGUUUAGAUUGCACGUUGGAUGCAUAGGAGUAGUCAUCAGUUUACAGUCUAGUAAGUUGAAUUUUCAACAAUUCAUUGGUAUAUUUGGAUUGAUGAACAUAACUCUAUCUUUGCAUUUAUUGAUUUGAAUUCUAAGAAUUUUUUUUAGUUUUCCCAUCAUACUUAUUUCAAACUCUACGUGCAUCAUCUUAGAAAAUUCCUUGCAAAGAGUUUUGUUAGUAUAACAAAAAAUGAUAUCAUCGACAUAUAUACAAAUAAUUAAAAUAUCAUUCUUUAAUUGUUUUUCUUAAGAGACUUGUGUCUACUUUAGCAUGAGUAAAACCAUUUUUCUUUAAGAAAGUUACUAAUCAUAUCAUACCAAGCUCUGGAUGUUUGCUUUAGACCAUAUAUUGAUUUUUUCAAUUUAUACAUUAACUCUGGAUGUUUUAAAUCUUCAAAUGUAGGUGGUUGUUUAAGAUACACCUCCAAAAAAUGAGACCAUUUAAGAAUGCAUUUCUAACAUCCAUUUGAUAUAGAAUAAUAUCAUGGUUUACCACUUAAGAUAAUAAUAAUCUUAUAGCUUCUAACCUAUCUACAAAAGCAAAAGUUUAAGUGAAAAUAAAUACCUUCGUUCUUACUACAGCCUUGAGAUACAUGUCUAACCUUAUUUUUUUUACCACUUCUCCUUGCUCAUUGAGAUUGUUCCUGAAAAUCCACUUGGUUCAAUGAUGUUUUUCUUAGUUGGUUUAAGCAUUAAGUCUCAGACAUCAUUUCUUUAAAAUCGAUUCGGCUCAUCUAGUAUUGCAACAACCCAUCCAUCAUAUUUUAGAGCAUCAUUUAUAGAGGUUGGCUCAAUCACUGAUAGCAGUCCCAUCAUAAGAUGUCCAUUUCUGAAUGUUGAUCUUGUCUUUAGAGGAAUAUUCUUGUUGGCAAUGAUUUGAUCUUUUUUAUGUGAGGAUUUGUACUUCAAAGUUAUUCCAAAUUGUAGAGCAGUACUUGAGCUUGCACCUUGUCCAUUAGAGUGUGCAACAUCUUUUGAAGCAUCACAGGAUGGUACAGGUCAUGACACAUAAGAGGAUUCAACUGUGUUAGUUUUAGAAUUAUACACUAUGUAUGCUUUUGAGAGUUUAGAGUAUCACAAUAAGGUCACUUUUUUAAGUCUUUGACAUCAAUUUUUCUGUACAUGAACUUUGUUUUUUAAAAUGUAACAUAGACAUCCAAAUUGGUGAAAGUAAGAUGUGUUGGGUUUUCUUCUUUUGAAGGGUUCAUAUGGAGUUUUGUUCAAGAUAGGUCUAUUAUAGAUUCUAUUUUGAAUAUAAUAUGCUAUGUUUACAACUUCUGCCCAAAGUGUUUAUAGCCAUAUUAGUUUCAUGAGUCAUGGUCAUACGUGUCAUUUCUUGUAAAGAUCUGUUCUUUCGUUCUACAAUUCCAUUUUGUUGUGGAUCAGUUCUAGGACAAAUGAAAUCAUGGUGAAUUCCAUGUUUUACACAAAAAAUUUCAAAUGACUUAUUUUCAAAUUUACCACCAUGAUCGAUUCUGAUUGUCAAAAUAUUUAAAUCCUUUUCAUUUUGCACUGGAGUAUAAAAAAAUGCUAGAGUGCAUAAUAUGAUUCAUCUUUAGAUCUUGAGAAUUUCACCCAAGUCCAUCCGUUGUAGUCAUCAACUAUGACUAAUCCAUAUUAGUAUAAUUUUGUGUAUAAAUAUCCAAUUAAUAUCACUAAUUUUCAAAAUUUAUCCAUUUAUAUAAUGAGUAAAUUGCAUUAACCUCCUUAAGGUCUAUUAAAAUAUCACUCACCCCCACUAAUUUUUAUCAAGACACUAAUUAAACUCCUCUCCUUAAUUUCAACCAAAGACUAACCUCCACUACUUAAAUUUCAAUUUGACAAACUAUCUUAACACCGUUAUCUAGCCUCCGUUAAUUCUCUUCCUCCACCAAUUCAUGCAAAGCUUCCACUAUGAAGCAACAUGCUUCUGAGACUAGUUACAUCGCACCGUAGGCUUGCUACACUCUUUCACUCAAUUUUAAUGUCUUUCACUUUCCCAAUUACCCUUUCAUCUUUAUCUCCUCUAUUGGUCAAUGAAAUAUUCAAGUAAAUAACUCAGGUUUUUGAAGUGGUUUGUCCCACGAAUUGAAACCACAAAAAAUUUAAAAAGCUAUUGGAUAAAAAUAUAGAAGAAAAAAAUUAGGAAAUGAAGUAAAUACAAAAAUCAAUUUCAUCAAUAAACACUACUAGAAAAAACAAAAUCAGGGAGGGAAAUUAGUGACGGAAAAAAUAAAAUCUCUCACAAAUUCCUUGGUCGCAAAAUUUAGUGACAGAAUUAGAGAGGGAUUUCACGUUUUCCCUCACUAAAUUUCCCUCACUAAUUUUUGUUUUUUUAGUAGUGAAAGUUAAACAACAUUAGGUUUAAUUUUAUCUUCUCCAAUGAGUGUUUCCCCAUUCUCUGGUAAUUCUAUCCAGCAACGUGUUUUCCUCUUUCUAAAUUUUAUUGUGUUUGUGGUUUGGUCAUUUGGGGAAGAUAAUUAAAAAUGGAUGUUUGGGAUCACCCAUCGAAAAAGAAACGAAAAAUUGGGACCCGAGAGGGUAACAUAUGUGAUUGUGCUAUUUCAUGAAAACUUGAGGAAAGUCCAUGUAAUAUUUCUUUAUACUCCAUCCGUCCGAAAUUGUAAGAAAAAAUUAGUUUCAAAUUAUAUAUCGUUUUACAAUACCAAUGAAACAUUAAUGUUAUCUUUUCUAUUAUAUCAUUAACUAUUUAUUACUCUAUUUUCUUUUAAUUCUUUCAUUUAUCUUUCCGGUAUCAUUUAUUAAGGACAAUUUUGUAAAACAAGUCAUAAUUUCUCUUUUCCAUACAAUAUUAAUUAUAUUUCUUAAUACGUGUGAAAUGCUCAAAACGUCAUACAAUUUGGGACGGAGAGAGUAUUACUUCCUCUGUCCCACUUUAAACGAGCUUUUGUUCAUUUCACACAUAUUAAGAAAAUUGUAUACAAGUAAAAGAGAGAGAAAUGAUUUUGAGUAUCUUGUCAACUAUUGGUGCAUUCCUCCUUAUCAACUAUUGAAUUGUGAGUGGUGAAAGUAGUAUUAAUUAGAGUUAUAAUUAAGAAAAAGUAAUUAAUAUUGUAUUGAAAAGUGAACUGGGUCAAUUUUUUAUAACGAUAUUUUUUUUGUAAAUGACUCAGUUAUUAUGGAUCGUAUGAAGUAUUUAUAAACACUAAUUAAUGAAGAUAACCCUAACUUAUCAAUAUUGUCUUAACGUUUGUGUAUUAUAAAUAAGGUCAUGCAACUUGUGCCCUUAAGGCACAUGUUAAGGAUUCCAUAAAUUCAAGAUAUUUAUUUCAAAACAUUAAUUUUCAAACUCCAAAAGAAUAAAUUGAAACAAUUUUCUAAGAUAAAAUUUUCACAUUUCUUUAACGUAUGUUCUAAGGGCACAAGUUAACAUUUUUUGUGUAAAUAUACUAUCUUCGUCCCUAAUUAUAGGGUCCUUUUGAGAAAAACAUGGGAAUUAAGAAAGUUGAUUGUUGAAUUAGUUUUGUUGACAAUUAUUACCAUUUUACAUGUUUACCCUUUAGGAAAGAGAAUUAGUUAAUUUUUUCACAAAAUAUUUAAUAUAUAUUGCUGCAAAAUAUGCAAUAUAAAUAGGGAUAUAGAGGUAAAGAAAUAAUUAAUGUACAUUGAAAUUUAAAAGGAGUCUUAGAAAAGAGACAGAGAAAAAAAUACAAAGGGUCCUAUAAAUUGGGACGAAGGUAGUAUCAAAGAUCUAUUAUUUAAUGAGUAUACUAAACUAAUUGUGAACACUUACUGUAUGCCAAAAGGUUAAGUUUAUCUGUCUUCAAUUCCUUUUUAAGUACUCCCUUCAUCUGACAAUUAUUGUCUCUUUAACUAUUUUUUUUUUUCUCAAAAUAAUUGUCAUUUUACAAUACCAAUGCAACAUUUAUUAUUUUUUUUCCAUUAUUAUACCUUUAUUUAUUGAAUUUCAUCCAACUUAAUUACUCCACUAACUACAAUUAAUAAGGAUGUUUUUGUAAAUGAUACUAAUUAUACCAUUGAAAUCAACACAUACAAUUAAUCAUUUCCUUAAUAACCGUGCACAAACCUUAAACGACUAAUAUUGUGAGACGGAUGGAGUAGAUAGUAACAUAGAAGUAUAAUAAUUAAUGUAUAAUCAUGUACUACCUCUGUCUCUAAUUAUAAGACUCUUUUGAAAAAAUAGCAUAAAUUAAGAAAAUUGAAAAUGGUAAUUUUGUUUGUAAUUAUAAUUGUUUUACAAUUUUAUCUUUGAAGAGAGAGGAUUAUUGUAUGUUUUCAACAUAGUAUUUAAUGUUGAUUGAAGAAAAAGAUAUAAAAUAAUUAAAUAGGGGUAUGUUAGUAAACAACUAAUUAAUAUACUAGGAAAUACUAAAGAGGUCUUAUAAAAAGAGACACUUAUUUUCCUCAAAAGGGAUUUAUAUUCAGAGACGGUGUAGUAUUAUCUUUAUUUAUUAAACUAUAUUAGUAUUAUAGUUAUAUUCGAUGUUUGUAAAAUCUUCUAUGAACAAAUAAAGGUAAUAAUAUUCAAAAGUUUUAUAUUUAAUAUUAAAUAUUCAAAUUUUAAUUAAAAUUUAUAUUUUAAACUUUUUAACAUGUGUAAAUUUGCACAUAAUAGAAAAUUAUAUAAUAAUACACUUUUGAACUUGUCAUACAACUUUAAAGACGAAAGACACAUAAAUCCAAUUACAAAGUACAAAUAAAAUGAUCAUCUUUAGCGGUAAUACAAUUAUUUUUAAACUUAAUUGUUAAAUAUAAAUGAACUCACAAACAUUAUUAAUGCACUCCACAACUAUAGACAACAUUAUGGGACAAUCAGCAUGAAAUUUGCAGGGAAUGGGAGCUGGUUUAUCUAAUAAGAAAAAGUAAAAAAAGAAUGUUACCAAUAGGUUAUAUGAUAUUAUGUAUUCCCUCCAUCCUAAAUUAUAUGAUGUUUUGAGCAUUUGUUAAUAAACGUAAUUAAUUUUGUAUGAAAAAGAGAUAUCAUUAGUUGUUUUAAAAAUUUUCCUUAAUAAAUGCUAUGAGAAAUAUAAUUUAAAGAAGAUAUCGUAAUAAAUAGUUAAAUGUAUAAUAGGAAAAGUCAUGCUUUAUUGGUAUUGUAAAAUGACUUAUAAUUUAAGUCAAUUUUUUUCAAAGGACUUAUGAUUUGGGACGGAGGGAGUAUAAGAUAAAUCCGAAAAAUUAUAAACAGUGUUAAAAAUAACAUACCUCUAAUGAUAACAACUAGAAAUGGAAAAAUAAAGACGCUUAAAGCAUGAACGGAUAUGAGAAUUUGAGCCAUAUUUUCUCUCUUUCAAAUAUAAUGAAUACAAUUUAUAAGGAAAUAUUUCAAGAUUUUUAAUAUCACCGAAAUAGUUUUAAAAUUUAGGAGUUGUAAAAGGUCAUUUAUAAAGUUGACAUUAAUGUUAAACGACUCUAAUCAAUAUUUUUAUUUUCUUUACUCAAUUGAUCACUUAACCUUAGUCAAGAUUUCACAAAACAAUCUUGAUGAUCAUCAAAGUGCAUUAUUGUUUAUUAAACUUAACUUGUUUAUGUUGUAAUGUUUCCUCCGAUAGACUGAAACUUGAGUGCUGGUCGAAGUCACUUCAAGUGUCUAAUUGAUCACUGUUGAUUUUUCUUUGGGGUUUUUGGUAUUUUUAUUUUCUCUUUUUGGUGUAAUACUUGGAAUUUAAUCUCCUUAUAUAUACAUACACACACACAUAUAUAUAUAUAUAUAUAUAUAUAUAUAUAUAUAUAUAUAUAUAUAUAUAAAAUAUUUUCCCAUUCAAAAAAAUAUAUAUUCAUUUGUUUAUAUAUAUGUUAGCCUUUUGUAAUAUAUAAGGGCAAGUGUCGAAAGAGAAAGAACAAUAAUAAAUGAUGAAAUAAGUUGAUUGUAUAAAUAACAAAUCAAAGAUGUGACAACACAUUUACUUAUAGAUAAAAAAAUAGCAUAUGAAUAGGAUGACUAUUUUUCUAUUGACAAAAUUUUAAAUCAAAGUUAAUAUAUAGGUUAAAUUACAUUAAAUAGGUGGGCGCCACUUUGAACUCAUGGUACUUAAUUAUCCGGUAAACUUCUCGAUAUCCCACUUUGAACCCAUGGUACUUAAUUAUCCUUCGAUCCUUGCCCCACGGUGGACGCCAAUUGUUGUGAAUCUGAUCAAUAAUCACACCAAUAACAACUUGAUGUGUGGAGCAAGGGAUAAUCAAGCAACCAAAAACAAAGUGUAUGGAACAAUUAAAUACAAGCCAAAAGUAAGAAAAACAACGGCGAGAAGAACACAAAGAAGAGAAGAAGACCAAAGAAAUUUGUUGACCCAGUUCGGUCCAAAUUGACCUAGUAUAGGGGAGAGAGCAGCCCUCCAAUCCACUAUAUGAUGAGUACCGUUACAAAGAGAAAUCAAUGGGUUACAAGAAUAAGUCUCCCGCCUAAUUCUACCCAAAGUCCCAGCCUCUUCCCGUAACCAAGAGACUCAAUCCUAAUAGUGUUUCCCAAGGUGAAUCAACCCACAAACCCUAGUGUUUGUUCGAAGAGACAAACUCUAUACAAACCCAAGUUUUGUUGUUGCCUUUCUAAACCCUUGUUUCAGCCCCUCUAUCUCUCUCUCUCUCAAAGUUUAGCCUGAUACAAGGUCUAUAUUUAUAGUAAAAGUAUAACUCAUAAAUUUGGAACAAAUACCACACUGAAGAUACGUUUUUUUUUCUCCUUCAGUGAAAGAAUAUUUGCAUCAAAAAUAUAAUAUUCCCUUUCAAAAUAUAUUUGCAUCAAAUCGUUCUUCAUACGAUACAAAAAUAUAUUUAUUGUCCAUAAAUAUAUUUUCAGCACAAAAUAUAUUUGAAACAAAUCUUUUAUAUUUUUAGCAACAAUAUUCUCCAUCCAUCAAAUUUUGAAUCAUACUACAACAUUCUCCACCUUGACUCCAAAUUUGUGAUGAUGUCAAACCAUCAACCACCUUGCUGCUCUUUCCCUUGCUUCCCACUACACCAAGUAGCUCCACAAGUUUACACCCUAACCUCUUCAGCCAUCAAAAUGUCUUCCGCCUUCUCGAAGAUGCUUGUAGUCCAACUACGCUAGGAAUUUCAGGUAGUUCUACAAGACUAUACCAUAACCUCUUCAAUACGAGACAUCUCCCGCUUCCUUGAAGAUCACCUUGCAUCCAAUCACCCUUGGCCUUCUUUUAGGAUAAUCCCGCAAGCCGUGCUAUACAUUCUUCAUCCUCAUGAAGAAAUCCCUUGCUCACCAUAGAGCAUAGCACCCAAGGUCCUCCAUAGUCGUACCAUUACCGGUGUGUUCAACUCCACCUCACGCUGAGCGUACUCUACCUCAACUAGCAAAUGCGUACAUCCCACUAUGUCUUCAACCUUGAAACUCCACCUCAACAGGUAGAUCAUGAGUAUUGUUGCCUCCGCCUCUCCAGACUGAUCAUGAGUAUUCUUACCACCGCCUCUCCAGGCUGAUGUUGAGUGUUUAACGUCUCUCCAGACGAUCACCGCUCCACUAGGCAUCAAUCCCAAGGUGAGACACAUCACCUUCUUCAUCCUCCAAACAACACCACACCAUCAGAGCACCCGCAUCCUCAUAACCCCUUGAGACAAUUUGUGCGGAGUUACCAUUAACCCCCGGACAAUCCUUCUUGAAGUGACCCAUCUUGUGACAGUUAAAGCAUUCAAACCUUGACUUGUUUCCACUCUUUCUCCGGUUACCUCUACCAACACCAUUCCCUCUUGAGACACUUAGGCCCUCACCGUGUUCAUGAGUCAAGUCCUUGGACUUGGUCAACUGCUUGGUUCUCAAAGCCGCUUGAACUUCUUCCAAGGUAACAGUGCCUUCCUUGCCAUAGAGCAUGGUAUCUUUGAACGAUUCAAAAGAUUUCGGUAGAGCACACAACAAGAGUAUAGCUUUAUCCUCAUCCUCAAGUUGCACCUCAAUAUUCUCCAAGUCAUCAAGGAUUUUGUUGAACUCCGUAAGUUGCUCCAUGAUGGCCUUUGACUCUACCAUCCUGAAUGAGUAGAGUUGUUGCUUUAGGAAUUGCCGAUGAGCCAAAGACUUUGUCAUAUAAAAAGAUUCCAACUUUGCCCACAUCGAUGCCGCGGUUGCUUCCUUUGCUACUUCUCUCAAAACUUUAUCCCCGAGGCACAAGACAAUGGCACUCCUGGCCUUGUCCACCAUCUCGGUUUUCUCCGCUUGUGACAUGGUGACCGGUAACGAACCUUCACCCUUCAAAGCUUUCUCACACUUUUGCUGUAUUAACACCUCUUCCAUCUUUACCUUCCAUAACCCGAAAUCGUUAUCUCCGGUAAACUUCUCAAUAUCCCACUUUGAACCCAUGGUACUUAAUUAUCCUUCGACCCUUGCCCCACGGUGGGCGCCAAUUGUUGUGAAUCUGAUCAAUAAUCACACCAAUAACAACUUGAUGUGUGGAGCAAGGGAUAAUCAAACAACCAAAACAAAGUGUAUGGAACAAUUAAAUACAAGCCAAAAGUAAGAAAAACAACGGCGAGAAGAACACAAAGAAGAGAAGAAGACAAAGAAAUUUGUUGACCCAGUUCGGUCCAAAUUGACCUAGUCUGGGGAGAGAGCAGCCCUCCAAUCCACUAUAUGAUGAGUACCGUUACAAAGAGAAAUCAAUGGGUUACAAGAAUAAGUCUCCCGCCUAAUUCUACCCAAUGUCCCAGCCUUUUCCCAUAACCAAGAGACUCAAUCCUAAUAGUGUUUCCCAAGGUGAAUCAACCCACAAACCCUAGUGUUUGUUUGAAGAGACAAACUCUAUACAAACCCUAGUUUUGUUGUUGCCUUUCUAAACCCUUGUUUCAGCCCCUCUAUCUCUCUCUCUCUCUCUCUCAAAGUUUAGCUUGAUACAAGGUCUAUAUUUAUAGUAAAAGUAUAACUCAUAAAUUUGGAACAAAUACCACACUGAAGAUACGUUUUUUUUUUCUCCUUCAGUGAAAGAAUAUUUGAAUCAAAAAUAUAAUAUUCCCUUUCAAAAUAUAUUUGCAUCAAAUCGUUCUUCAUACGAUACAAAAAUAUAUUUAUUGUCCAUAAAUAUAUUUUCAGCACAAAAUAUAUUUGAAACAAAUCUUUUAUAUUUUUAGCAACAAUAUUCUCCAUCCAUCAAAUUUUGAGUCAUACUACAACACAAGUUAUCGAUCCAGAUAAAGGGAAAGCAGCUCAACAAACUCACUCUCCAAAUCAUAUGCAGAUAUUGGAUAAUCCAGAAGUUGAUGAUGAAGGUUUUCAGCAGGUUAUCUCAAAAGGAACUAAGAAAGCUCAAAAAGCUGCUACCCUUAAGAGUAAUUACACUUCCACACCUUUGAAAUGAAGUGUCUUUACUGGAAUUUGAGGGGAUUGGAUAACUCCCCUACUAAGUUAGCUCACACAAAGUUGCUGAUUUUGCAUAAACUAGAUCUUUGAUUUAUUGUUGAACCUUGGAUGAUUAUCUCCAAUUUUUCCACCUUAUGGCUAGACAAAUUAGGAAUGAAGGAUUUUUGUGUAAAUAAUAGAGGAAGUUUAUUACCAAAUCAUUGGUGCUAUUGUGCUAAAGCUAUCAACCCUGUCCUUAUACAUACCGAUGACCAACAUAUUUCUCUCCAUUUGGUUUUGAAUGGUAAGAAUUUUGGUUUAAUUGGUGAGCAGUGCUAAAUGGUGCGAAUGGUUUUUCACGUAAAACACACGACCUUGUAAUGAAUGGGCAAUCCAACACUGUUGUGAUAUUUAUUUUUAUUAAAAUACCAUAUUCAAAACCAACAAAAAAAUUUCACACGUUGUCCUCAAUUGGUUUGACAGCAUACUCAAGUAAAACCAAACUCUUAAACAAUAGAAACAAGGGAUAAUUGUAAAAAAAUAAUAAAAAUAAUAGUCAAUUUGGUUUCUGAAUGUGUAAUAAGUAGCCACAAUGGUUUUUUAAAAUAUCAAAAAUUUUAAAAUAGUCUCAGAUUAUGCACUUCGCUAAUUCAAAUAUUGUAAGUAUCGAAAUAUUAUUUUAAUGUCUGAAACUAUUUUGAUUAAUAUAGUGUACAAUCAAGACGAACAUAGUGUAUAGUCAGGAUUUUUCAUAAUUCAUAUUCAUACUAGAUGAGCCAGGUACACUUGGUCCAAUGGGAGAAGAGGUAGAUUCCACAUUCAAAAAAGGCUUGAUAGAACAAUUUGUAACCAGGAAUGGUAUGUUGCUUGUAACUUUGUAACCUAUUCAACUCUCACAAAGCUUAGAUCUUACCAUUUCCCUAUCCUUCUAGAAUUUAAAAAUGGUGACUGUCUCUUUGUCUCUCAAUUUAAAGUCUUGAAGGUUUGGUUACCUCACCCUCCCUGAUUGUAUCUCUAGCGGCCAAAAUAUUUAGGGUUGCUCGAAGAACGUGAAGUCACCACCAGAGUUUAUUAAAAUAGGGAUAACAUUGGAAAAACCCUUUAAAGUGAAAAAAUGGUCUUUGAAACAAAAUUUUAGGUUUGGGAGUCGAUUAUGCGUAGGGAAGGUAAUAGCACCCUACGACAUCUGUUAUUAAACGGUUACCUCUAAUUAAUUGUGCAAUUCGUUGUUAACUUUUAAACAUAUUUAUUUCUCCUUAUUAUUAAAUGCGAAUAAAAAUUAAAUAUUCAACUAAAAAUGUAAUGUGUUUAAUUAGAAAAAAAAAAGUUUUGUUAUUAUUGUGUUUGACAAGAGUGAGAUCUUGCUCCAACAUAUCUCCUAGUGCGAUGGAAAAUUCAAAGCUACGUAGUUCUAGGAUAGAAAAUGUUUGUUUGUUGGUUGAUUUUUAGAAAAUGUUUUGGUUGCGAUAAAUGUUUUUAAAAAAGACAUUGUUGAUUUAGUGAGUAAAAAAAUGAUGAGUGUGAAAAGUUGAUUGUGAUGAGUUUGUUGAUUUGUUUUUAAAAUUGAGCUUAAGAACGAUCAGGUUGUACAACUUGUGUCCGUCAACUCGAGGAUUUAUUUUUAAAGAGAUGUACAUCCAAUUAACCCUCAUCUAAUUAACCCUCUUAAGAUGAUUUAUUUGUUUUGAUUAAAUUAAUUCUAAAAAUGAGAUUUUAAAACGAUCAAGUUGUACAACUUCUGUUCUAAAAAACUUAAGGACUAAAGAGAUGUACAUUCAAUUAAUCGUUUUGAUUAAACUUUUGUUUGUGAGGGGAACUUAAGCCUAAAUAGAGUUAGAUCAUACCUCAAAACAAGCAAGAAAUAGUGAUAAAACAAAACAAAAUGGACUUGGACCCGUAGCAAGGCAACACUACAAUGCACAACACAAACCAAUACAAUAAAAAAAAAAACCAUAAAAAUAAAAGAGAGAACUUAAUAACCUCUCUAACUGUAGCAAAUUGAAAGAGGUGUUGUGUUUCGCAAAAUAAACAAAUUUGAGAACAGCAGUGAAUGGAAAUAAUAAAAACGAGGGAGAUAUGAUCUAUGUUGGAUUGCGCUGGUGUGGUGUUGUGGUGGCGGUGGUGGCGGUGGUGAAAAAUGGUGGUGGUGGUUCGACCGAAAAUGGCGGUGACGGUGUUUUGUCGGUUUGGGUUCAUGAAACUUUUGGUGAUGUGAAUACUCAUGUUAAGAAUGCUACUCAGAAAGUUGAUUCUUCAUACAUCCCCUUAUUAAUGAUUCCUUGUCUUUCGCAAAACUACAAAUCAAUGACAUAAUAUCAUAUGCAAAUAUAGUAUCUGCAAGACAAUGUAGAAGAUUAACGUACAAAGGUUAUGACUUAAAAAAUAAGAACAUGAUCAAUAUAGAUAUCUUGCUUUAACUUAGACGUCGUAGCUUGAUAGUUGUCUGUUGUUAUUGGUGUGCAAAUUCCUAAAAUAAAUAAUAUCAUUGUUAACAUAUUUUAUUUUACAAAUGAGAGUAACUAUUGAUCAUCUCAAAGAUGAAUAAGUGACAAAUAUUAUAUUUGGCAGAUAAGAUUUUUCUAAAUAAAUGCAACAAAUACCUUUUUUUUUUUUUUGAGCCAAUAUUUAUAUUUUCACAAUAUUCCACAACUAUGUUUUAUCUCUUAUUAUUGUUGAACUCACACAAAAGAGUAAACUUCCAGAUGAUGAAUAUGUUACUAACAAAAAGUCAAGUAUUAGUGAAAUGAUGAGGACGUUGUCAUAGGAUGUUAGGGUUCCUAACUAAUUACGUUGUCGUCAAUGUUGCACAUAGAAGAUAGUGUUUGCUCAUCCUUCCAUAUGUUCCAUUUUUUUUAAAACUCCCCCUCUUUUUUUUUUUUUGAAAGUUUUAAGACAUGAUAUUGAUUAAUAUUAUAAUUGUUAAAAAUAGAAAUUGAGAUUGAAUAUUUAAGUGUAGCAUACCUUUGUAUCAAAACGUUUUCUUAUCAACUGCUUGCAUAUCUGGUAGAUAUAAUUGUGUUCUAAUUUUUCUAUAUAAGAAAAUAAAAUAAGACAAUAAUAUUUUUCGUUAAAAUGAAUAAGGUGUAAUCAGCUUCAAAAUUUGCAUUUAUGAUGACGUAAAUGUUUAUGUGAGUUCCUUAACCUAAAAGCUAAAUACCGUUAUGCUAAAUGUAAAAGAUAAAUACAUGUGUAUGUGAUAACAAUUUUUUUUAUUGAAAACCAUAUUUCUUGUGAAUUCUUCGUCUACCCUUUCUACUCUUCCAUCCUUAAUUAGCACUGUUGUUGAAGAUCAAGAAACGCCUCUUGAUAAAGCAACAUACAACUAAACAUGGAUGAAAACAUGUUGUGGAAGAUAGAUUCAAACUUUGGGAAUCGUUUGAUCUUGCGAUUUGUUUAUAGUGAUUUCAGAACAUAGUUUGACAGGAUUUUAUUUUCUACCUAGCACAAAAGGAAGUCUUGCACAGUGAUUAAUUUUAAGCUUAAUCCUUGGGAAGAAAGUUCUUUUUCCAUAUUGUUGCCUGUUAGUAUUACAACAUCCAAUAAAUUUUGAAAUAAACCAUUACAUAAAAGCCUUGUCAUGUUACAAAUCCAUAUUUGUGUUCUAUGUUUUGCAGCAACAUCAAUGGAGCAUCAUUUUUAAUCUUUAAAAUACGUGACAGUGGUAAACUUUCAGUUGCAAUUAUAUAUCUUUCAGUAUUCUUGUUGAUAUAAGUCAUGUGCGUCACCUUCAACCUCGUCAAAUGACAACAAAUUAUAUUCUUCUCUAGGGAACUGAUCAAUAAUCAUGUCAUUCAACAUUUGCAUGUCACGAUUCUUUUGACUAAGUAUGACUAUUUCUACCAUAUAGGAUGCAUCUCAUACAUGGUUUUCUAAUUGGGGGAAUGUAUGUUGUAUAAUAUUAUGUAUAGAACUUUCUUCCUCCCAUGGUGUUCCUAAUUCAUGGGGUAGUUAACCAUGCUGUUUGAUUUGGUAGGUUAAGUGUCAUAUCCAAUCCACAUGAUCAAUUUUUAGAAGUCAUGAUCAUGCAUUGAUCGCAUAUUUUGGCACAAAUGUGAGUCCUUUGUAUUGGCCCAUAAAUAAGACCUAAUGAUACAUGCAAAAAUCAUUUGCUCUUUGCUUCCCUUUGUGAAGUCAUGUUGUGGAAAUGUGUGGUCAAUGCAUGAUCAUGACUUCACAUAAUUUCUUAUGUGGAUUGGAGAUGGCGCUAAACCUACGAAAUCAAAGAAUAUGGUUAAAGUAUCCAACAAAGUAGAAAUACCAUGGUAGGAAAGAAGUUAUAUACAUAAUAUUAUACAACAUACAUUUUCCCAAUUAGAAAACCAUGUCUGGGAUGCAUCGUAUAUGGUAUAAACAACCAUAAUACUCCAAAUAAUCUUGACAUGCAAAUAUUGAAUGACAUAAUUAUUGACCAGUUUCCUGGAGAAGAACAUAAUUUGUUGUCAUUUGACGAGGUUGAAGGUGACACAAAUAACUUAUAUCAACAAGAAUACUUGUCGCGCCAUUUUUCGGAUGUCAAGGCCACUUGAUUGACUUUGACUCACUUUUUUACUCACGACUGAACAAUUUUUUUUUUAGGGGAAAAAGUUCCAAACAACCCAUUUCGAAGAGAUUUAGGGUUCGGGGGUUGGUUAUAUUUAGGGAAGGUGUUAGCACCCUAAAUAUUCGUAGUACUCUACGAGAACCUCUUGAUUUUAUUUAACUUCUUGUGCUAUAACUUGCUUGCUUUUGAAAAGAUGAAAAUGGAAUUGGAUGAUGAGUUGAAAAGGAAAAGAAAAUUGACUUUAAUUGAAGAGAAAAAAGGAAAAUGUUUUUUAAUUGAUUUGGAAGGACAAGGUCCUCUGCCUACGUACCCGUGAGGGAUCAAAACCUCGUAGUUCGGGGUAGAAAUUGACGUUUGAUUGGUUGAGUGUUUUUUAUUAGAUUUUGAAAAAAGGUUUUGAAAAUAAAAAGCCAAGUGGCAAAUGAGAAUUGAUUUGUGUUUUUUUAGAUUGAAGAAAAUUGACUUGAAGUUGAAUUAGAAUUGAUUGGAAAUUUGAUUAAGAAAAAUAAAAUAAGAAGACGGUCACUUGAUUUAAGAUCAAGGUUUAUUGUGAAAAGUUCUUUUUAUGAAUUUUUGAUAUUUGAAUGUUUUUGUUGUUUUUGAAUAAAAAUAUGAACAUUAUAUAAGCAGAAUGAGAAAAAUGAAGUUAAGCUAAAUUGUGAAAUUAUUUUAACAUGGACCAGAAUAUUCUGGAGAGUAAUUAAGUUAAACAAAAAUAAAUAAAUAUUAACAUUUAAGUUUGGACCAGAGCACUCUGGAUUAACAAAAAUAUAAUAUUAAUAGUUACUUUAGGACCAGAGCACUCUGGAUUAAUUUAAUUAACAAUGACCAGAGCACUCUGGAGAAUAAUUAAAUUAAACAAAAAUAUAAUAUUAAUAGUUAAUAUAGGACCAGAACACUCUGGAUUAAUUUAAUUAACAAGGACCAGAUUGUUCUGGAGAAUAACUAAAUUGAACAAGAAUAUAAUAUUAACAUGUAAUUAGGACCAGAGCACUCUGGAUUAAUAGAGAGAAAAAUAAAAAUGCAUGAAAAAGAAAUUAAAAGUGCGGGGGACCAGAGCACUCUGGAUUAAUAGAGAGAAAAUUAAAAAAUGCAUGAAAAGGAAAUUAAAAAAAAUGAGAUGCUGGGGUUAAGCAAGGAAUAAAAGGGGGUGCAGGAAUUAGAAAAGAGAAUUGGGCUUUAAGAAAUCUGAACCGGGUCGGUUCUACGGGUCGGUCCAUGGGUUGAACCAGUGAACAUGUAUAUAAGGGUUGUGGGUCACAAAAAUUGCCAUUUUUCAUUGUUUUUCUCUCUCUUCUCUUAUUUCUAGAGAGAGAAGCUCUGCCUUCUCUCUAGAACUUCUUCAUCUUCUCCGAUGGAGAGAUGGUGGCCGGAGGCGGUUCCGGCGCGGUGGCCGGCGAGUUUUCGCGGCGGCGCCACCGCGCCGGAGUUAAAAAUGUCUCCUUUUUUUAUUUUUUUUCGUCCUCUCUCCUUCUUUUCUCUCCCUCUUUCCGAUUUUGCAUACAAAAAUUCCAAACAAAAGUUAAAACGUCCUAGAUCUAAAAGGAAAGAAAAUACUACUUUCUUUUCUUUUUGAACGGAUUUGUUUGUGACGGUUCGUUGUUUAUUGUUGUGAGAACAGUUUGUGUUCUUGUGACGUGUAUAUGGUGCGGUUUGGUUAUUAGAUCUGUGAGUUAGGGUUAUGAUUUAUGUUCUUUUGGUGUAUUUUCGGCCUGCUUGGGUUGGCUAGAAAACUGUUUUCUCUUUGUGUUUCUGCAAGUUGGAAGAUUGUUCUUUCCUUUUCGUGUGUGUGGGGCCGAGUCCCUUUGUUUCUUGUUUGUGUGUUGUAUUUAUAGAACUGGAUGGGAGACAUGGAACCUGUUAAAGGACAGACAGGAACUGCCUUGGCUUGGGAUUAAGGGGACAUGAAUGAGCUGGCCACAGCUGGGGAUUGGAACAAAAGAGAUCUAAUAUUUUCGGACAUAAAAAAAGAAAAUAAAGAAAAAUAGAAAGACUAAAAAAUAAAAAACUAAAUGAGUUAACUAAAUUAAAAGGAACUUAAAUAAAAGAUGGAAACUAAAAAUAAAUAAAAAAUGAAAAUUGAGAGAAGAGGGCCCGACUCGGAAUCAACUAUGAGGUAUUUUAAAAUACCUCCCUGCCGAAUUUUUGUUCGAAAGGCUGAGACCGGUCGUAACUAAAUGACAUGUGUCAGUGCUGUCUUAGGUCAAAAAUUGGAGUAUGACAGAUGCCCCUAUUUAAGUUUCUUCGUCCGGAGAUUUAAAAGGAAACCUUUAAAUUAACAGGUCGAAGAGACUUAAAUAUUAAGUACACCAAUUUUGACCGGUUGGAGUGCUAAGAAUGCAACGCUCAUGAGCAUAAUGAUAUGAAAGCAUGCGAUGCAAUUAUGAAUGCAACACCGACAAAAUUAGAAUGACUGAGGACCAAAAUGACAAGUAUCACUGGGGAGAAAGAAAAAACUGCAUAUUACCUUUAAAUUGGUAAAGACGACAUUACAAGAAAGUAAACACAUGUCCAUUAACUCUAGAAUUGGUAAAGAUGACAUCACAAGAAAGAUAAACAUAUGUUUAUUACCUUUAAAAUUGGUAAAGACGAAUCUGGAGGAAAUAAUCAUGCCUAUUACCGUGAAUUAGGUAAAGACGAAUAUGUAACAGAAACAAAUCCUGCCUAUUACCGUGAAUUAGGUAAAGACGAAUAUGCAAAAGAAAUCAUGCCUAAUACCGUGAAUUAGGUAAAGACGAAUAUGCAAGAAAGUAAAACAUGCCUAUUACCGUGAAUUAGGUAAAGACGAAUAUGCAAAGAAAGUAAAUCAUGUCUAUUACCGUGAAUUAGGUAAAGACGAAUAUGCAAAAGAAAUCAUGCCUAAUACCGUGAAUUAGGUAAAGACGAAUAUGCAAGAAAGUAAAACAUGCCUAUUACCGUGAAUUAGGUAAAGACGAAUAUGCAAAGAAAAGAUCAUGUCUAUUACCGUGAAUUAGGUAAAGACGAAUAUGCAAAAGAAAAUAAAACAUGCCUAUUACCGUGAAUUAGGUGAAGACGAAUAUGCGACAAAGUAAAUCAUGCCUAUUACCGUGAAUUAGGUAAAGACGAAUAUGCGAGACCUACCCCUUGAAGUUAACUAGUGGCAAACUUUGAACCAGACAUAUUGAGGAUGAUACUUUUAUAAGACACAAGAUAAAUAGGACAUUGGGUAAUAAUGCAACCAUGUAUGAAUGAUAUUUAUAUUCAUGCUAUGUAUGCAUGAAUGAACGAAUAUGACUGAGACUCGAAUGACGGUAUAGUGUUAAGACUGUUGAGACAAGGUUAGGUAGGUCCAAAAAAGAAGUGGCUCAACAUCACAGCACAAAUGCCCAUAAAUCCUCAACGGGAAUACCAUUACUAGAGAUGAGUCAGACAUUGUCGGGGUAGAACCCUUCAAACAAACCACAGGUGGGAUAAAGCCCAACGAUCUUAACACUGAUACAGUUUAGCUCAAAAAUCAAAACACUAGCCGAAGUCGCCAUUUCUGAACUGAAACUGAGGUGCUUUUGCAAGCUUAUGCUUCAAUUAGUCAUUGUUUUUCUUUUGGUAUUCUUUUCUUCUUUUUUUUUUCUUUUUUAGUAAUGACUAUGUCCAUACAGAUGAAUCUUCAUGCUUUUGAAUCGAAUGUUGACACAUGCUUCUAUGAUACAUGAAUUAGAGAUAAUAUAUUUGUCAUCAUUUUGUUCUUUUCCAAAAGAAAACAUAAAGAUUUUAAAAGAAUUUUCAAAGUUUUUACUUCAAGUUUUAACAGUAAAAAUGGAAGAAAAUUUGCACAUAGAAUAAAUAUGAAUUUCAAAUAAAGGGGCACAGGCUCGAGUUGAUUUAAAAGAAAUGGUAACCAGCUAAAGCAUGGCACCACAGAUUCAAAAUGUGGACAAUGGUAAUUAAUAUGGGGAAGGUACAUUGAACAUAAUAACCGCUACUUUCUCUAACAACUUUGAAUUCCACUGCCUAUAAUGCUUUGAUAUCGGAGAACUUCUGACAGCUAAAGUGCCCCAAGUGAGUGAUGUUUCAUCUGAUGCAGUUACUUUGUCAUAAUCCUUAACUUUUGCAUAGAUCGCCCUUGUGGGUUUCAACCUAUCAGGAUAAUCCUUUUUUUUUUAUAUGUCUCUAACUUUUGCAUGGACCGCCUUUUCGGGUUUUCAAUCCAUCGAGACGCUCUUUUUUGUUUAGGACGCCCUUUCGGGUUUUCGACCUACCGAGCUAUUCUUUUACAUAUAUAUCUAGACAAAGUAUUUCUUGACUGCAUCAGAAUUCACAGGACGAGGUAACUCCUCUCCAUCCAUAGUUGUAAGAAUUAAAGCACCACCAGAAAAAGCUCUUUUCACCACAUAGGGACCUUCAUAAUUAGGUGUCCACUUUCCCCUAGGGUCUGGUUGGAAAGACUUGAUACUCUUGACCACCAGGUCACCUUCUUUAAAUUCACGGGGUCGAACCUUUUUAUCGAACGCUUGUUUCAUCCUUGUCUGAUAUAGCUGUCCAUGACAUAAAGCAGCCAUGCGUUUUUCCUCAAUCAAAUUCAACUGAUCAUACCUAUUUUGACACCAUUCAGCCUCUGACAGCUCAACUUCCAUCAAGACCCUCAAUGACGGGAUUUCAACUUCUACCGGAAGUAUUGCUUCCGUCCCAUAUACCAAAGAAAAAGGGGUUGCCCCUGUUGAAGUACGCACUGAAGUACGAUAACCAUACAAAGCGUAGGGCAACAUCUCAUGCCAGUCUUUAUAGGUAACCACCAUCUUCUGCACGAUCUUCUUAAUAUUCUUGUUUGCAGCUUCGACCGCACCAUUCAUCUGAGGUCUAUAAGGAGAAGAGUUAUGAUGCUCGAUCUUGAAACCAUCACAUAAUUCCUUCAUCAUCUUAUUGUUCAAAUUCGUGCCAUUAUCCGUGAUGAUCUUGUUGGGAAUGCCAUAACGGCAUAUGAUAUUGUUCUUGAUAAAUCGGACUACUACUUGUUUGGUCACAUUGGCAUAAGAUGCCGCUUCGACCCAUUUGGUGAAGUAGUCAAUAGCCACUAGUAUGAAACGAUGUCCAUUGGAAGCUUUUGGUUCGAUUCGACCAAUCAUAUCAAUGCCCCACAUAGAGAACGGCCAUGGAGAAGAGAUAACAUUGAGCAUAGACGGUGGAACAUGAAUCUUAUCAGCAUAAAUCUGGCACUUGUGGCACUUCUUGGCAUAAUGAUGACAGUCAGCAUGCAUCGUUAUCCAGUAGUAGCCUGCUCUCAAUGCCUUCCUAGCCAUUGAAUAUCCACUAGAAUGAGUCCCGAACGAGCCUUCGUGUAUCUCAUGCAUUAAUAAAUCUGCUUCACGUCGGUCCACACAUCUGAGCAAAACUGAAUCAAAGUUUCUUUUGUACAAGACGUCUCCACUCAGGAAGAAAUUGCCAGACAGUCUUCUUAGAGUUCUCUUAUCUUUACGGGAUGCCCCAGGAGGGUACUCUUGAGUUUGAAGAAACACUUUAAUAUCAUGAAACCACGGCUAAUCAUCAAAAACUGCUUCGGCUACAAACACAUAAGCGGGCCUAUCAAGGAACUUGACACUGAUUAGAGGCACGUCGUUGCCUCGAUUCACCUUGAUCAUUGAAGAUAAAGUUGCUAGGGCAUCUGCCAUUCGAUUCUCAUCCCGAGGAAUGUGGUGCAACUCUACUUUGUUGAAGAAGGUCAAUAAACGUCUGGCAUAGUCUCUGUAAGGUAUCAUUCCAGCAUGGUGAGUUUCCCAUUUUCCUUUGAUCUGGUUAAUCACAAGAGCUGAAUCUCCAUAUAUUUCAAUAUUUUUAAUCCUCAAGUUAAUGGCUUCUUCAAUGCCCAUGAUGCAAGCUUCAUAUUCUGCAAUAUUAUUCGUGCAAUCAAACCGGAGUCUUGCAGUGAAAGGGAUGUGAGUACCUUUAGGAGUAAGGAUAACUGCCCCUAUUCCAUUACCAAAGACAUUGACGGCUCCAUCAAAAAUCAAACCCCACUUAGAGUCUGGAUCAGGACCUUCACCAAACAACGGUUCAUCACAAUCUUUCAUCUUUAAAUACAUGAUCUCUUCAUCUGGGAAAUCAAACUUGAUAGGCUGAUAGUCUUCAAUUGGUUGAUGAGCCAAAUGGUCAGCAAGAACACUACCCUUGAUGGCUUUCUGAGUGCGAUACACAAUAUCAUAUUCAGACAAUAACAUCUGCCAACGAGCAAUUCUUCCUGUUAACGCCGGCUUCUCAAAAAGGUACUUGAUCGGAUCCAUUUUGGAUAUCAACCAAGUAGUGUGGUAAACCAUGUAGUGACGGAGACGCUUAGCGGCCCAUGCCAAAGCGCAACAAGUUUUCUCAAGCAUAGAAUAUCGGGACUCACAAUCAGUAAACUUCUUACUCAAGUAGUAAAUGGCAUGCUCUUUCUUUCCAGUUUCGUCUUGUUGACCAAGCACGCAGCCCAUAGAAUCAUCCAACACAGUCAAGUACAUGAUCAAAGGCCUUCCUUCAACUGGAGGGACCAGAAUCGGAGGUUCUAACAAAUACCCUUUGAUGCUAUCAAAAGCUUUCUGGCAAUCUUCCGUCCAAACGAUCCCCUGAUCUUUACGGAGUAACUUGAAUAUCGGCCCACAUGUGGCAGUCAUAUGGGAGAUGAAUCUGGAGAUGUAGUUCAAUCUUCCCAAAAAGCCUCUAACUUGUUUCUCUGUCUUUGGAGCCGGCAUUUCCCUGAUAGCUUUGACUUUGUCGGGAUCUACUUCAAUACCUUUCUGACUGACAAUGAAACCCAAGAGCUUGCCAGAUCUAACACUGAAGGUACACUUGUUAGGAUUCAAUCGGAGUUUGUACUUUCUCAACCGUUGAAACAUUUUUAACAAAUACUCAGCAUGUUCUUCUUCAGUGCCUGACUUGACAAUCAUAUCAUCCACAUAUACUUCAAUCUCUUUAUGUAUCAUAUCAUGGAAUAUUUUAGUCAUGCCUCUCUGGUAAGUGGCGCCAGCAUUUAUCAAUCCAAAUGGCAUUACUAAGUAGCAGAAAGCGCCCCAUGGCGUGAUGAAAGACGUCUUUUCUCUAUCUUCCGGAGCCAUCUUGAUCUGGUUAUACCCGGAAAACUCAUCCAUGAAGGAGAACACCUUGCAUCUAGCAGUACUAUCAACCAAUACAUCAAUGUGAGGUAAAGGGAAAUCAUCCUUCGGACUAGCUUUGUUCAAAUCCCGAUAGUCAACACAACAUUCUGACCUUACCAUCUUUCUUCGGAACGGGCACUAUGUUGGCCAACCAUUGAGGAUAUUCAGAGGUAAUCAAGAAACCUGCGUCAAUUUGCUUUCGCACUUCCUCUUUGAUCUUGAGAGCCAUAUCUGGAUGAGAUCUUCUUAACUUCUGCUUGACUGGAGGACACUCGGGCUUUAGAGGCAAACGAUGUUCAACAACAUUAGGGUCUAACCCCGGCAUGUCUUUGUAGGACCACGCAAAUAUAUCAUCAUACUCUCUGAGAAGCUCAAUUAUCCUAUUCUUGACAGAUGCCUCUAAUGACGUUCCAAUCUUAAUCUCUUUCUUAUCUUCCUCAGUACCCAGGUUGAUCGAUUCUAUUUCUUCCUUAUGAGGCUGAAUGGCUUUUCUUUCUUGUUCUAACAUCCAUCUGAGCUCAUUAGGAAUCUCUUCAUCCUCCUCUACCCAAGCCUCAUAAACAGGGAACUCCCAGUUGGGCGGAAGCAUAGGGUCACUACGUUCAACGGGCUCACUUAUGCUUAGUCUGCAUAUGAUUCAUGAUUGAUUUUUAGCAAAAAUAGUGGAUGCAGACCUUUGAAAUUGAUUUUUUUUUUUUUUUUGUUUUUUUUUUUUUUAAAGAGAAAAAAAAAAGAACAAGUUUUUGAUUUUUUGUAUUACCAUUUUUAGAAAAAGCACUAAAAUAAAAUAACGGUCGUGAUAGAAACGACAAUUUUUAUUAAUACUGAAAACAACUUAAAGUAAAAACAAACCCUGCAAGAUUUCACUUUCGUCUGGGGUAGGAUGAAAGGAGUUUUCUUAAAAAACAAAAACAAAGACAAACACAUUACUUAGAAAAAGGUAUCGCAGAAGGGAUGUCAACAGCAAUCCAGUUGCAGCAAUUUCCAUCAGGAGUCACAAAGUCAGGUGCCACCUCUUCUGAUUGAUCUUCCAAAAUUGCAUUAGUCUCAGGUGGUGUAUUAAUGAAUCCGGCACUGUGAAAAGUGCCCCUAGUUGGGUCGAACACCACUUGCUUAUUGCCAGAGAAACCCAAACCUUCUUUGCGCUUGUUCUCGGGCAACUGUACUAAUUGCCCCCAGCCUUCCGCUUUUCCUUCUUGGAUUACUCUCUGAGCAUCCCUUAGAGAGGCCAUGCAUGUUUCACCUUUUGUAGUACCACUUUCAACCGAGAACCCUUGGAAUGACGUUCCAUCCAGACUUUCACCACCAAUGAAGGAAAAGGACGACAAAUGGCUAACCAAAAGAGCUGAUUCCCCACUCACUGUAACAAGCUUUCCAUGACUCACAAACUUUAGCUUUUGGUGAAGAGUGGAUGUUACUGCCCCUGCUUCAUGAAUCCAUGGUCUACCUAGUAAACAGCUGUAGGAAGCUUGAAUAUCCAUUAUCUGGAAUGUAACUUUAAACUCUUGGGGCCCAAUAGUGAUAGGUAAAUCUAUUUCUCCCCACACCGUCUUCCUGGAUCCAUCAAAUGCCCUUACCGACACGCAACUGGGCCUAAUAAAUCCGUCUGAAUACGUCAAUUUAUCAAAGGUUGUCUUCGCCAUCACAUUGAGGGAAGAACCAGUGUCUAUCAAGACAUUGGACAGAGAAUCUGUUUUGCACGUAACAGAGAUAUGUAAGGCCAUGUUAUGAUUUUUCCCCUCCACCGGGAGGUCUUCCUCACUGAAACUCAGGUUGUUGCAUGCCGUCACAUUUCCAACAAUGCUCCCAAAUUGAUCCAAAGUCACAUCAUGGUCUACGUAGGCUUGAUUCAAUACUUUCAUCAAGGCUUCCCUAUGAGCAUCAGAACUUGUCAAUAGUGACAUGAUAGAAAUCUUGGAUGGAGUCUGUAAUAACUGAUCCACUAUCUUAUAAUCACUUUUCUUGAUCAGUUUCAAAAUUUCAUCGUUAUCAGUUCCACUAGGUUGACCCACACUUUUACCCUUGCUAGGAUCUGGUAUUGGUACUGAUUGUAUCACUGGAGCUUUGUUCUUUGCUUGUACAACAGCCGGAAGAAUACGUCCACUUCUCAGAAUUUGACUACUCUCAGCAAUGUUAUCUACUGAAGUUGAAGGACCCAAAAGUACCCCUUUACCAUCCUUUAUGCCUGUAGAUUCGUAGCUAUAUGGAAUAGCCUUCUGGGAGAAAAACAGCUUGGGUUUUGGCACACAAAUUGCCAAAGGAUCGACAAUUGUCUUGGCAUUGUCUUUGAAUAUCGGAGUAACAACACCAAUUGGUUUCGUCCUAUCCUUAAACACAGGAAUUACAACACAAAUGUUCUUAUCUUCUCUUGUGACAACCAGCUCUCCUUGAUCCAUUAACCCUUGUACAUCAUUUUGAACUUGAAUGCACCCGUGGGGAUCCGCAGAACAUACCUCACAAUUGAUAUGAUCGUGGCUAAACAUACCUACGUUACACAUCUUCACAUGCAUUGGAACCAACGGGGUUCUGACAUCUUGAGCGUUGGUGACGAGAUCAUCUUCCUGAUAAUUCUCAAUCAUGUUAACGGUCGGCCCAUGAGGUGGCAGAGGGUUGUUUGGAGCAACAGGGUCAGGGUCAGUGAAUGAUAAGUCCUUACUGUGAAUCAAUCUUUGGACUGCGUCUUUGAGAGGGUAACAGUGCUCAAUGUCGUGCCCUGGUGCCCCUUGAUGGAAUUCACAAGUAAGGUCUGGGCGAUACCAAUGAGGUAAAGGGUUCGGUACCGGGGGACGUGGUUUAAUCUGAACAAGACCCCUAGCGAGUAGGGAGGGUAACAAGUCUCUAUACAUCAUGGGGAUAGGAGGGAAUUGAUUUCUUGGAGGGCGAGGCUGACGAGGCUGUUGUUGUUGUUGUGGUGGAGGAUAAGGUUGUUGAUAAAAUGGUCGUGGCUGAUAAGGUUGUGAUUGAUAUAGUGGUGGAUAAUAAGGCGGGGGUGCUUGAGGCCUUCGUGGUUGAUAGUUUGGGUUUUGUGGAGCUGGGAUGGGUAAUGGAAUAUUAGCAAUGUAGGGGUAGUUGGGGUAUACAGGUUGGGAUCCACCAUGAGCCACCAUGCCGACCUCUGGAGCGUUCUUCUUUGGGUACCCAUUUCCGAACCUCCUAUUACCAUUAGAUGAUCCACCUGUCAAACUUCCUGAAUAACCACCUGAAGAGGCACCAUCUUUACUACCCCGUCCCUUACGGACCCAUUCUUCAAUACGAACACCCGCGUCUACCAUGUCGGUAAAUUUCUGUGAAGCACAAAGAAGCAUCUUCUCUGAGUAGAAAGGGCUCAGAGUCUCAUAGAACAGAUCAGCCACUUCUCUUUCUUCCAAAGGCGGACGAAUUUGAGCAGAUUUCUGAAUGAAGCGCUGGGCAUACUCUUUGAAAGAUUCCUUAUCACCCUGAGUCAUAGCUUGCAGCUCUUUCCGGUUAGGGGCCAGAUAAGAGUUAUAUUUAUACUGCUGGAUGAAGGCAUUAGCCAAUUCCUCAAAAGUAGUGAUACCCUUCAAAUUCAUAUACCAUGUGAGUGCGGGACCAGCCAAACUGUCCUGAAAACAGUAGAUGAGUAGAGGUUCAUUCUUCCUAUGAGCCGUCAUCCUCCUAACAUACAUGAUUAAGUGAAUUUCAGGGCAAGUAUUCCCCGUGUACUUCUCAAAGGUCGGCACUUUAAACUUAGGAGGUAUAACCACAUCCGCAACCAAGCAGAGGUCAUUCAAAUUAUGGCUAAACACUUCCUUACCCCGGAUACUCUUCAACUCUUUAUGUACCGCAUCGUACUUUUCUUCUAAGUUACCCACUCUAUCAUCACCAGCCACACUAUUGGAAUGGUACACUUGUUCCUCCUCUUGCUGAGCAGCAUGCACGAGGGGUCCGGCAUAAGUCAUAGUAGCCUGAGGAAAAGGCUGGCCGGUCUGGUAGAACGGUGUUUGUUGCUGGCCAAGAGGGAACUGCAUUUCCGGCGCAUUAUGACGAAAACCUUCAUUAGUUGCGAGUGGCAUGCCCCACGGGUAGCCUGGCGGCAUACAGUACUGAGGAGGGAAAGAGAAACCGGAAGGUCCAACGGGAUGGAAGCCUGAAUUGUACAUGUCAGUCACCAAAGGUUGUGUAGUACCAACAGCUGCGGUGGAACCAGUAGGAAUUGGUUGUGAAGUAUCAGCAGAAGUAGUAGGAAUUGGCUGGAUUGCAGGAGAACCAGCAGACUGAGAAGCUUCAACAUGUGCCUGAGUGGUCUGAGCAUUUUGCGCUUGAGAGGCUUGUGCCUGUGCGGCCAUCAUGUCAAUCAUCAUUGCGGUUAUUUUCUCCAUACCUUCCUUGAGGUUACCAACCUCCUCCCUAAGGUCACUGUUCUCUUGUUCAGCAGUUGCCAUCUUCUUCUUGAUGUAUGCUCGAGUACGGUGAACACGGGUAGGUUUGUACUGAAUACGCCGGGCCACUUUGCUUUUUUCUGAGACAGAAAUGAGGAGAGUAUGAGACUUGGUUUUGACACUUUUUAUGAAUAUGAUGCAUGAUAUGCUAUAUGCCAAAAUAUGCAAUUUUUAUAUAUCUUUUUAUCGAAGGACCUAUAGAAGCAAUUUUAUAAACAUAUGACCCUAAACAAAACAUUAAAACAGACAUAGUCAUUACAAGAUAAUUCCCUUUCUAACAACAAAGCCAAGGGAUAAACUUUCAAAAUAAAACAAGAUAAUUCCCUUUAAACAAAGUGAGUCAAGGGAUAGACUCCAUAAUUCCCCAGUGAAGUCGCCAUUUCUGUCGCGCCAUUUUUCGGAUGUCAAGGCCACUUGAUUGACUUUGACUCACUUUUUUACUCACGACUGAACAAAUUUUUUUUUAGGGGAAAAAGUUCCAAACAACCCAUUUCGAAGAGAUUUAGGGUUCGGGGGUUGGUUAUAUUUAGGGAAGGUGUUAGCACCCUAAAUAUUCGUAGUACUCUACGAGAACCUCUUGAUUUUAUUUAACUUCUUGUGCUAUAACUUGCUUGCUUUUGAAAAGAUGAAAAUGGAAUUGGAUGAUGAGUUGAAAAGGAAAAGAAAAUUGACUUUAAUUGAAGAGAAAAAAGGAAAAUGUUUUUUAAUUGAUUUGGAAGGACAAGGUCCUCUGCCUACGUACCCGUGAGGGAACAAAACCUCGUAGUUCGGGGUAGAAAUUGACGUUUGAUUGGUUGAGUGUUUUUUAUUAGAUUUUGAAAAAAGGUUUUGAAAAUAAAAAGCCAAGUGGCAAAUGAGAAUUGAUUUGUGUUUUUUUAGAUUGAAGAAAAUUGACUUGAAGUUGAAUUAGAAUUGAUUGGAAAUUUGAUUAAGAAAAAUAAAAUAAGAAGACGGUCACUUGAUUUAAGAUCAAGGUUUAUUGUGAAAAGUUCUUUUUAUGAAUUUUUGAUAUUUGAAUGUUUUUGUUGUUUUUGAAUAAAAAUAUGAACAUUAUAUAAGCAGAAUGAGAAAAAUGAAGUUAAGCUAAAUUGUGAAAUUAUUUUAACAUGGACCAGAAUAUUCUGGAGAGUAAUUAAGUUAAACAAAAAUAAAUAAAUAUUAACAUUUAAGUUUGGACCAGAGCACUCUGGAUUAACAAAAAUAUAAUAUUAAUAGUUACUUUAGGACCAGAGCACUCUGGAUUAAUUUAAUUAACAAUGACCAGAGCACUCUGGAGAAUAAUUAAAUUAAACAAAAAUAUAAUAUUAAUAGUUAAUAUAGGACCAGAACACUCUGGAUUAAUUUAAUUAACAAGGACCAGAUUGUUCUGGAGAAUAACUAAAUUGAACAAGAAUAUAAUAUUAACAUGUAAUUAGGACCAGAGCACUCUGGAUUAAUAGAGAGAAAAAUAAAAAUGCAUGAAAAAGAAAUUAAAAGUGCGGGGGACCAGAGCACUCUGGAUUAAUAGAGAGAAAAUUAAAAAAUGCAUGAAAAGGAAAUUAAAAAAAAUGAGAUGCUGGGGUUAAGCAAGGAAUAAAAGGGGGUGCAGGAAAUAGAAAAGAGAAUUGGGCUUUAAGAAAUCUGAACCGGGUCGGUUCUACGGGUCGGUCCAUGGGUUGAACCAGUGAACAUGUAUAUAAGGGUUGUGGGUCACAAAAAUUGCCAUUUUUCAUUGUUUUUCUCUCUCUUCUCUUAUUUCUAGAGAGAGAAGCUCUGCCUUCUCUCUAGAACUUCUUCAUCUUCUCCGAUGGAGAGAUGGUGGCCGGAGGCGGUUCCGGCGCGGUGGCCGGCGAGUUUUCGCGGCGGCGCCACCGCGCCGGAGUUAAAAAUGUCUCCUUUUUUUAUUUUUUUUCGUCCUCUCUCCUUCUUUUCUCUCCCUCUUUCCGAUUUUGCAUACAAAAAUUCCAAACAAAAGUUAAAACGUCCUAGAUCUAAAAGGAAAGAAAAUACUACUUUCUUUUCUUUUUGAACGGAUUUGUUUGUGACGGUUCGUUGUUUAUUGUUGUGAGAACAGUUUGUGUUCUUGUGACGUGUAUAUGGUGCGGUUUGGUUAUUAGAUCUGUGAGUUAGGGUUAUGAUUUAUGUUCUUUUGGUGUAUUUUCGGCCUGCUUGGGUUGGCUAGAAAACUGUUUUCUCUUUGUGUUUCUGCAAGUUGGAAGAUUGUUCUUUCCUUUUCGUGUGUGUGGGGCCGAGUCCCUUUGUUUCUUGUUUGUGUGUUGUAUUUAUAGAACUGGAUGGGAGACAUGGAACCUGUUAAAGGACAGACAGGAACUGCCUUGGCUUGGGAUUAAGGGGACAUGAAUGAGCUGGCCACAGCUGGGGAUUGGAACAAAAGAGAUCUAAUAUUUUCGGACAUAAAAAAAGAAAAUAAAGAAAAAUAGAAAGACUAAAAAAUAAAAAACUAAAUGAGUUAACUAAAUUAAAAGGAACUUAAAUAAAAGAUGGAAACUAAAAAUAAAUAAAAAAUGAAAAUUGAGAGAAGAGGGCCCGACUCGGAAUCAACUAUGAGGUAUUUUAAAAUACCUCCCUGCCGAAUUUUUGUUCGAAAGGCUGAGACCGGUCGUAACUAAAUGACAUGUGUCAGUGCUGUCUUAGGUCAAAAAUUGGAGUAUGACAAUACUUAAACACAAUUGUAACUGAAAGUUUAUUGCCACAUAUUUUAAAGAUUAAAAAUGGUACUCCAUUGAUGUUGUUGCGAAAUAGACACCCGAAAUAUGGUUUAUGAAUUGGAACAAGGUUUCAAUGUCAUGGUUUUUUUAAAAAUUUAUUGGACGUCGAAUACUAACAGGCAACAACACUUAAAAAGAGCUUUAGUUGCCCAUAAUUAAGUUUAAAACCACUAAAGGUGCAAGGCUUUCUUUUGUGCUAAGUAGCAAAAAUUUAUUGUCAAACUAUGUUUUGAAAUCACUAUAAGCAAAUAACAAGGGAAAACUAUUCCAAAGUUGGAAUUUUUCUCCCAUGACAUAUUUUGAGCCAUGGUCAGUUGUAUAUUGCUUUAUCAAUAGGUGUUUCUCAAUCCACAACAAGAGUGUUGAUUAAGGAUGGAAGACUAUAAGGGGAAGACGGAGAUAGGAAUACCAUGAUAUGUAGAGUGUUUCGUUGGGUACUCUAACCACACAAAAGUAUUUAUCUGGAACUCACAUACACAUUUACAUCAUCAUAAAUACAAAUUACUAAGCUGAUUACACCUUUUUCAGUUUAACAAUAAAUAUUAUUGUCUUAUUUUACAUUCAUAUACAAGAAAAUUAGAACAAAGUGAUAACUUACAGCUCUGCAAGCUGUUGAAAAGAAAGCAUCUUAAUGCAUACUUUGAUUAAAAAAAAAAAAGGUAUGUUACACUUACAUAUUUAAUUUAAAUUUUACUUGUUAACAACUAUAAUAAUUUUGUCCAAAAAAAAAAAAAACUAUAAUAAUAAUCAAUAUCAUGUUUCAAAACUUUCAAAAAAUAAAGGAGGGGGAGUUUUAGAAAAAAUGGAACAUAUGGAAGGAUGAGCAUACACUUUCUUCUAUGUGCAACAUUGAUGACAAGGUAGCUGAUUUAGUAUCAAGAACCCUAAUUUCCAAUGACGUACAACAUCAUUACCAUUUCACUAAUACUUGUUUUUUUUUUAAACAACAAAUUCAUCGUCUGGAUGUUUACUCGCUUGGAUGGGGUUCAAGAAUAAUAAUAGAUAAAACACAAUUGUGGAAUAUUGUGAAAAGGAAAAUAUUGGCUCAAAUCCCUAAAAAAAUAAAAUAUUGAUUCAAAGAAAAAAUAGGUAUUUGUUGCAUUAGUUUAGAAAAAUCAUAUGUACUAAAUAUAAUAUGUGUCCCUUAUUCAUCUUUGAGACAUGAUCACUAGUUACUCUCAUUUGUAAAAUAAAAAUAAAUUGUGUUAACUAUAUUAUUUAUCUUAGGAAUAUGCACACUCCAAUAACAAUAGACGACUAUCAAGCUACGACGUCUAAGUGAAAGCAAGAUACCUCUCUUGAUCAGGAUUUUAUGUUUUAUGUCUUAAGCUUUGUACAUUGUCUUGCAUAUAUUAUAUUUGCAUAUGACAUUCUAUAAUUAAUUUUUAGUUUUUCGAAAGACAAGGAAUCAGUGAUUAAGAUAGGUAUGAAGAAUUAGCUGCAAUUUUUAAACGGUAAUUAACUAUAUUAUUUUAAAUGAUAUUUUAUAGCUUUUUUUUUUUUUUAUACAAUUUAGUUUUUUCGAUUAACAACUAAUAAAACUCAUAAAAUAAAAUGCGGGAAAAUAAGAAUUUUUUUUGGUUCUGAUUACAUGUUUUGCAUUCCCACAAGCACCACCAAUGAUGACAAAAAUACAAUACUAAUAUUAACAUUUUAAGUUGUUGAAUAUUAUUUGAAAUAGAGUUUUUCUCUAAUCUCUGUUUAUAUUAUCAAUGUUUAAAUUAGUAAUUGUACUAACCCAAUAACUGAAAUUAAGUUAUACAAAGAAGAAACAUAGAGUAUAUAUAUGUUAGCACAAUACUCAAACAAAAAAGGAUGGAAAGAAGGGAAACAAUAUAUCUCUAUUCAUCAAAUUUUUAGUUCUUAUAUUUAUAUAUGACAUAUUAUAUAUUAAUUUAUAUAAAGAAACAUAAUCAAAUAUAUACAUAUUUUAGCGCAGUAGAAAAAGCAGAUAGACGAGCACGUAGACGCUAGUAGCAAAUUAUGGGAAAUUAAAUUUUUACCAUUUGUAAAAGAAUGCAUGGGCUGUGAUAGUAAUUACGAAACUUCAUCUCACUAGUGUCGUGUACGAACUUACUACUAUCUAGAAUUAUGUAAAAGAAUUUUUUUUGGAACUGUUUCGGUAAAGAAAGUUAUCUUAUAAAAUGGCUACACGAAACAAAAGUUUUGGAUUUAUUAUUAGUUAGAGAUUAGAGAUGAUAGAUAUAGAUUAGAUCGGUAUAAUCAUCUACGACAUUCAUGUACUCACCAAUGCUGAGCUUUAUUCUCAUAUUGUUGCCAAAUUAGAGAAUCAAUAAAAAAAUGAUUAGAAAUAAAGCCCAAAAUGAAUCAAUAAUAAUAAUAAUAAUAAGAAUGAAGUGAUGUAAAUGUAAAUGACAAACCUCUUGUUGAAACUGCAAAGUUUGAGUGAGAGACUGAGACUAUUAAUUGACAAUUGAUAUGUGAUGUUGUUAGUACCUGCGUGCAGCGGUGAAGUUAGAGUAAAUGUGACGAGUGAGUCGACUACUAGAAAAAUCAAAAUUAGUGAAGGAAAUUAUGAAAUUUCUCACAAAUUCCUUGGUCGCAAAAUUUAGUGACGGAAUUAGAGAGGGAUUUCAUGUUUUCCCUCACUAAAUAUCCCUCACUAAUUUUUGUUUUUUUAGUAGUCAAGGGAUAAUUUUCUACUAUUGUGAAUGCUCUAAACAAUUAUAUUUCUUUAUAGCUAUUGAAGAGAAUAUUUUUUUGAAAGAAUAACUAUUGAAGAGAUUGAAAGUAUUAAAAUAAAACGAAUAAAUUUAUCGAUCAAGGGAUAAUUUGCUAACUUUUUUUAUUUUCUUACUUUUUGGUAAAUAGAUUUGUUUGAGGUAAUAUAUUAUUGGGGUAUCUUAAAAUAAAAUGUAUUAAAAUCAUUCAAGAUAAAUAAUAUUUGUUUGAGGUUCUGCUUGCGUGGUAACUGCAAGGGAAAAUAUUGUUAGAUUAAUAUAAGUUAUUCGUCAUUUUUUAUCUAUUAAUUAAGGAUUAAGGAUGAUCUAAGUUACUUACCACCAUAAUCUGCUAACUAAGGAUGUUCUUUAUCAAUUGGAGACUAAAAGAAGGAAAAAAGAAAGGAAAGAAAAAACAAAGAAAUGAGAGUACGUUUAUGAAGUAAACAAAAAGAUAAAAUAAAAAUGUCGGAUAGAAACUAUCCAUUGUUGUAGACUAGUUUGUUUAAGAACAACAUACACAUUCUCGUGAACUUAGAACAGUUAGCAGGAACAUUAGCGGGGGUCAGGAUUUAAAACCCAACUUACACUUAUACAAUAAUGAUCCUAUUUUCAAUGGUUUAAAUUAGACAUUAUUCGUGAUUAAAACUAAAAAAUAACAAAAUAUUUCAGAAUAAAACGAAAAAAAUUAACCAAUCUAUUUAUGUAUCUCUAUAUGAUGGAAAUUGUUUUCAGCAAUCCAGUUGCUUUGUUGGUGUAUGUUAAUUACUUAUAGAUUAAAAUAUGGACAAUAAUAAGAAGAAAAAAUAGAAUAAAGACAUCUAAUUACUAUUGUAAGAAGUAAGGAAUGAUUUACCGUAAGUGAGCAACGUCAUUCCAUGAACAAAGUUUCUAUUUGAGCGUGUAAUGAAUUAAUGGAGAAAUUAAAAAUAGGGAAAUGCUUUUUCUCCCGAGAGAAUGUCAAGCGAAUCGACCACGACAAUAGCUGGUUAGUUUUGAUUGGUAGUUUAUUCCUUGAUUUUCUUUUUUUCAGCAAACACCUCUUUGUAUUCAGCCAAACUGCAAACUGUGAUUGAUUAGUUUUGAUUUGGGAAGCUUUUGCUAUGUUUUCUUUCCCACUAUAUGGCAUCGCUCUUAACAAUAUAUCAAUGGAAAGAGUAGCUAUUAAUGGAAAAUUGGUAAAUUAAUAGUUAUAUAUAUAUAUGUAGCAAUUGUGUGUUUGUGAAAAGUAAGUAACCGUAACUAAAGUUAUUCAACGUGUGUGUGGUGAGCAGUUAACAAUGUGGAAAUUAAAACUGAAAAAAAAAAACUAAAAAAAGUGGAAAACAAAACUGCAUAGGGCAUUUUCAUAUUAGAAAAAAAACUAUACCAAAACAAAAGUUGUGUCUUUAUUAUUAGUUAGAUCUUAGAGGAUAAUAGUUAUAGAUUAAAGUAAUGCUAACAACUUAUCCUAGGAGCAUAUCCCAGUUCGUUGGAUAAUGCAUUAUUAUAUGCAGGGGUCGGGGUUCGAAACUCGGACAUCCAACUUAUUCACCUUAUAAGGUGAAUUCUUGCCACUAGACUAGCUGACAACAAAAAAAGUAAUACUAACAACACUCUCUUUUGACCACACAAUAAGAGGGUGAGUAUAAUAGAGAAUGUUGAAAAGUGAGUGUUGUUAGCAUUCCUCUUCAGUCAUUUUUAUAAGUGAAAACUAACUAACUUUAAAAUUUGAGUUUUAUUUAUAGAUAGCAUUGACCAGGUGUAGUUAUGAAUAACAACAAAAAAAUAAAGGUGAGGCCUAGGUUGCCUUUGAAAACUCAUGGGCAAUUUACCUAAACCAAUCAAAAGUUUCCAUGUGUACUCCAUUAGAAUAAUAACAUUUAUUAUUUUAUUUUGCAAAAAUUUAGCAAGUAUUUUAUUAUUUGCAUAUUCACCCUAUCUUAAAUUAAUGAUUUUUUACAAUUUAAACCAUCACAAUAAUUAAAUUUCACCUCUAAUUCAAUCACUCUCCAAACCUCUUUUUUAGCUUGGCAAAAAUCAUUAAAAAUUAAAAUUAUCACCCCUGGGAAUCAAACCUGGGUGCUCCCACCUAUUUAAAAUGUACUCUGGAACCACUUGAUCAAUACAUUUUUUAUGAAAUAAUUUGGAAUUCAAAAUUAUGUUAUUAGUGAGCAAAUUAUUUUAUUUUUAUUUGCAGUGCCUUUAUAACCUAGCUUUAGUGAAAAAAAAAAUCAUUUUAUGUGUGUAUAAUUAUGAAGUAGUAAAUUUUUCUUAAGAAAAAUGAAUUCAUUCAAUUGAUUUUUUAUAUUUUAAAUUUCAUUCUUUUUUAUAAAUUCAUACUUUUAUAUAGAUUCGAUGACCUACGACAAUGUUUCAUUUGUGAUCCACCGAAUUAUGAUUUAUUUUAGGUACUAUUUUUCAUUUGGAUCAGAUAAAUUGUUUAAAGGUAAUAAUUUUUUUUUUGCAAGGUCUUAUAAGUUAUAACCUAGCUUUAGUAAAAAAAAUCAUUUUAUAUGUGUAUAUUUAUGAAAUAGUAAAUCUUUCUUAAAAAAAAUGAAUUCAUUCAAUUGAGUUUUUAUAUUUUAAAUAUCAUUCUUUUAUAUAAAUUUAUAAUUUUAUAUAGAUUCGAUGAACUACAACAUUGUUUCAUUUGUGAUCAAACGAAUUAUGAUUUAUUUUAGGUACUAUCUUUCAUUUUGAUCAGAUAAAUUGUUCAAAGGUAUUAAUUUAUUUUUUUUUUGCAGUGUCUUAUAAGUUAUAACCCAGCUUUAGUAUAAAAAAAAUAAAUCAUUUUAUAUGUGUAUAUUUAUGAAAUAGUAAAUAUUUCUUAAAAAAAAAAAAAUGAAUUCAUUCAAUUGAUUUUUUUUAUAUUUUAAAUAUCAUCCUUUUAUAUAAAUUCAUACUUUUAUAUAGAUUCGAUGACUGAUGGGAUAAAACCGCAAGUGCACGGUUCUACCAGAAUUCAGGGCAUUACAAACGCAACAUGUGGCAUAAAAAUAUUACUUUAUAUGUAUAUACUAUUGAUUUUACUGUUCAUUUAAAAUAUUUUAUUUGCUUAAUUGCACUUUUGGACCCCUAUCUUUUCAAAAGUUGCGGUUAUGGAUCCCUAACUAAUUUAAAUACAAAACAGUCCCCUAUGUUUUGAUUCUUUAGCAGUUUUGGACCCCCAAGGCAAAAAAAAAAAAAAAAAUUGACAAGUGGCACCUCACUUAGGGUGCCAUGUCAGCGUUGACCGAGUCAACAAUGAAUUGGGGUCCAAAAUUGGCAAAAAAUCAGAACAUAGGGGGUUGUUUUGUAUUUAAAUUAGUUAGGGGUCCAUAACCGCAACUUUUGGAAAGAUAGGGGUCUAAAAGUGCAAUUAAGCCUAUUUUAUUUACUAUUUUAUCCUUUAAUAAUAUUAUAUUAAAUUUGAAUUAGAAAAAUGAAAUCUCAUUAAAAUAGGAAAUAUACCACUACAACAGGAACAAUACUAUAUAUACUUUUUUUUUUUUUUUUUUACAAAAUACUAUACAUACUAUAUAUGAAGGGAAUAGAGACUUUGGGCUGAAUUUUUUAUAAUUUCAAUUAUACCCUUUAAACAAAUUUUCCUAUAUUAAUGUUACAUUUUUGGUGGUAUUAAAAAAAGAUAAGAAUUUAUAUUAUAUUUGUUAAACUACUGUGUUGUUGUGGUAAAAAAUAAACAUGAUUUUUUUGGGUUUGUUACAAUUUUAAUUUCACAAAUAUUUGUACUUAUAAUUUUAAUCAAAAUCAAAAUUUCAUAUAAAAUACCGUUCAUAAUUUACACAUGUCACGUGCCCGUUUUUUCGCUAGUUAUAUAUAGUAUUUAUACUAUAUAUAAAGAAAACUAUCUCUUUCAGCACUUUUGGGCAGGAUUUUUCUUUCCAAAAAUACCCUUAAUUUUUAAUACAAACAACACAUGUAACAAAUAAAUAAGAAUAAAUUUAAAUAUUAAAACAAAUGUAACAAACACGAUAUGUGUGUUUGGUUUUUUUCCUUUAUCAUUUAAAAAGUGUAACAAACUAUAUGAGUAUAUUUAAUAUUUGCUUUUUUUAUUAUCCCAAUUAUACCAUUAAAACAAAAUCCAUAAUCAUCAAUCAACAACAAGAAGAUCCAACAUUUUAAAAAAUAAAUAGAUAAAUUUAAAGGAAUUUUUUUAAGAUUCUUAUGUUGUUACAUAAUAUUUGGACAAGAUUCUAAUUCUCAUUAAUCUUUUCUCCCACGUCAAGAAUAUCUCUUUGCUUCUUCUGAUUCAUAUUCAUUCAUUCCUUAUUAUUCUAAUUUUUAACUCAAUUCAUCUUCCUAUAGAUUUGCAUCGUUUUUGCUGAACCAAGAAGGACUGUUAAGUAGAAGAAUUCCAGAAUCAUAGAUGUAAUCACAAUAGUUCUCAAUGACAAUGCUUAAAAAAAAAUUGAUUUUUUUCCCAAUCUAUCUCUCUCAAUCCCGAUCUACUCUCUAUCCCCUUAAACCCUUUUUUCCUAAACUAUUCCUUACCUCUCAUGCUCUCUCUUCUCCAUCGGAUACCAUUUCCCAUUCUAUCAUCUUCAUUGCAUUCUCCUCUUUCUCUUUCAUUUUUGACUUCUCAAUAAAAAAUCAAUCCCAGCUUCAAUUUUUUAUUGUCGAAUUCGAAUUCGAAUUUGGGGUGCGUGGGUUCGAUUGAGAGAGAGAGGGAUCGAGAUGAUGGAUAUAUAGACAACGGUGUUGAUGGUGGUUUUGAAAAAGAGGUUUUGAUGGUGGUUAUCUGGAUUUUCUCUGGAUUUUUUUUUAUGAAGGUGAUGAAUGAGGGAAAGAAAGAAGAUGAAGUAUGGGAUAUAAUGCUAGAUGUUGUUGGUUCACAGUAAGAUACAGUGGACAUGCAUGAUCUAACAAUCUUUCUUUAUUAAAAAAGAUCAAACGGUUUAUAUUAAAAAAAAUAAUAGGAUCUAUAGUGGACCAGGGGGUUCACCAUAGAUAUUUGAGGUUAAAGUUAAUUUAUUUGCAAACUGUGGGAAAAGUGAAGGACUAAAACGUGAGUUUUAUUAAUUGUGAGACCAAAAUAAAACCAAAGAAUUAAAUAAGCCUUUUUUUUUACUAAAGCUAAGUUAUAACUUAUAAGACAUUGCAAAAAAAAAAUUAAUACCUUUAAACAAUUUAUCUGAUCCAAAUGAAAAAUAUUAUCUAAAAUAAAUCAUAAUUUGGUUGAUCACAAAUGAAACAUUGUUGUAGUUCAUCGAAUCUAUAUAAAAGUAUGAAUUUAUAUAAAAGAAAGAUAUUUACAAUAUAAAAAAUCAAUUGAAUGAAUUUAUUAUUAUUUUUUAAGAAAGAUUUACUAUUUCAUAAAUAUACACACAUAAAAUGAUUAUUAUUAUUUUUACUAAAGCUAAAUUAUAAGUCACUGCAAAAAAAAAUAAAAAAUUGCUCACUAAUAACAUAUUUUUGCAUUCCAAUUUAAUUCAUAAAAAAUGUAUUGGUCAAGUGGUUUGGGAAACCAUUUCAAAUAAGUGGGUGUGUUUAAGUUCGAUUCCCACGAGUGAUAAUUUUAAUUUUUAAUGAUUUUUGCCAAAUUGUCCAUGAGUUUUUAAAGGUAAUUUAGAAAAAACCAAAAAUAAAUUAUAGGAAAACCUGUUCCCGCUCGUGUAUUCCUAAGGUAACGGUUACAACUUCCAAGUCUCUUGUACUUGUGCACUCUUGCUACAAUCUUAAAAUUCUUUUCAAAUCUUUUUCAUGGAUUCUCUUCUACUUCCAGGUAAUAUCAAAUCUAACUUUUUUUUUUUUUUUCCUGUUAUGAUCAAUCCAAUUAAUAUAAUCAUCCCUUUUCAUUCCUAAGAGUUUAUUUUAAUUAUAUGUUAACAGAAAAAACCAACGACGAUUCCAAACCAAAAAUGAAACAAAAGCGCAACAAGGCAACCAAAAUGGGCAUGGGUAGAGAAACACAGACUCAAUUCAGGUAACUAACAUAUUUUAUAAUUCAUCAAUUCCACCAUGCUUAUAGAUUAUAAUAAAGAUUCGUGACUCCGACAACAAUAUAAAAGUUUUUUAUGUUGUCAAAAUUGAAGUAACAUCGGCCUUAUUUGAUUACGAUAUAUUCUCCACAAUAUAAAAGAUUGUGAUGCCACUGUUAUUUAAAUUAUUCAAGUUGUUAGUAGUAUGUAAUCCAGACAACAUUCUUACAAUCGGCACAUUGGUGGCCUUGAAUCGAGAUAGAGCGGUUCAAAUUUCAAAAUCAGCAUUUUAGUUCUUAAAAAAUAAAAACAAAAAAAAAUUUGAACCCUUCGAUUUUGAUCCUAUUUGCAAAAUGUGUAAAUGUAGAGGAUUGACGACCAGAGGCAAUCUGAAUUCUAUUUAAAAUCAUGAAUUCCUUUACAUUGUUAUUUGAUUUUUUUCUCAAUUUCCAUUCUCUAUUUUUGUUUCAGACAAAACCGAGCUUUCGGUACCCCUUGGAACACAAACGAUAACAUUCCGAAAAAGCCCAUUUCGGACAACAUUACCACCAAACCAAAACCUGCAGUUCCACAUAAACAACCCAAACAACCAAUUCCAGCAACACAAGUUCCCACUGAAAUCACCACUUUAACACAACCUAAUGAUAAAAAAUCACCAGAAAAUGUCAAGCCCAUAAAGAACAAGAAGAGUGACACAUUCCCACAAAAGUUGGCAGAAAAAGCAAUGUUAAAGGAAAGUGAUUCUGCAGAGGAGCCUAAAACUCCAGCAACAACUUCUCAUGGUAGAGGCAAGAGUAAAGUGCAAGCUACACCGUUUUACAGCGCAGUAAAUUGUAGCAAAUGUCGUUUUGAUAAGCUUGAGACUUCAUCUUAUUGGAUUGGACAAAUCAAAUUGGCAGAGUCUGUUGGGAAACACUUUGUUGCCUCUGGAUUCUUCAAGCUUGCUUUGAAAUCUCAGGCUGAGGUUUGUGUUUCUUUAUCACAAAGUUUAUUUGUGUUUGAAUUUAGAGAAAUUUUCAAUAUUGUGAUGACUGAAUACCACAAAACUUAACUAUUCAAAGUUAGAUAUGUCAUGAACAUGUGUUUAUAAACAGGAAAUAAUAUUUGUGACCUUACAAGUUGAUUUUGUGCGGUUUGAGUUGGAACAAACUCAAAUUCUUAGACGGUAUAAGAGUUAGCUUCAAAAUUUGUUGGACUACCUCCUAUCCGGUUACCGUUGUUGAGCCACUCGAGGUCACACUACAUAUAUUUAAUUUUAGGUGUGAAGGAAGGUAUAUUAUGAGUUCCAUACGCAUUAAUUAUUAAUAUUUUAGUAAAGAUUAAUUAAUGCAAUUCAAAAUUUAAGAGAGUCGUGCAUAAAGUACAAGAAAUUUCUCUAGAUCUGACAUGUAAAUAUGGAGGUUGUAAUUUAGGGCUUACGAUUAUUAUUUGAGGACACAAGCUAGCAUCAAACAAGUGCUUAUAACUUUGGUGCUAACUUCUCUGAAAAACUACUUUGGUGCUAACAAGUUUUGGCUAGUUGGUUCGUGACUUGAGUUAUGUAUACGAUUUUUUUUUUUUUUUGUUGGUGGUCGGGGUUUGAACCCCAGACCUUACAUAUAUUAUGCAUUGUUCCUACCAACUAAGCUAAACUCACGAGGACAGUUAUGUAUACAAUUAAAAAAUAUGAUUAGUUUUAAUAACUUUUUUUUUGUGAUGUUUGAUUUGAUAUUUGGUGUGUUGGUUAGUCUAUUAGGAACCUUCGGAUUGAGCUUAAAAGGUAUUUGUCAAGGCAUGGGCACCUCUCCGACCACAUGAAUCAUGAUUCAUGAUGUAUUACAUGCAGGAAAAAUGAAAGUGAAAUGAGUAUAAUUAAUCUGUACUUGAAAAUAACAAAUACACAUAUAUUCAAAACUCUUACGCAUUCGGUUAUUGUACUCUUGCUUAUGCAUUUCAAUCUUAUAUAAUUUUGUGGUUUAAUCUCUCUUUAAUGGUGUGAUUGGUUUCAAUCUUAUAUAAUCUACAUUCUUCCAUUCUGAAACUCUGGCAAUGGUUCAGAGUUGGAUAUGGAUCUGUGAGAUUCGUUUUUGUUUCUAUCACCAUGGUUUUUACGCUCAUAUUUCUGCAGUAGAGAUAAACUCAAUUUCUUCUUCUCCUUCUUCAGUUUCAUUUUGGUUGUCUUUAACAUAUUUCUAUUGCAAAUUCUCUCUGAUAGUUUUUGUAAUGAUGCUUUAAGAGCAAGAGAGGCUUGAGUUUGCUGUGUAUUACUAGUGGUUGUGAGAGUAGAGUAAUAUUGUUGGGUGGAAGGGAAAUAAGUCACGGGAGGGUUUCGAGAUCUCAAUAAAAGAACCAAUUGUUAGAGAAGUAGAACUACUUUACUGAAAAUAAAAGAAACAAAGCAGUAAAACAGUAAAUAAUAAAGAAAGAAAAAUUAACUAAAGAAAAUAAAAUAACAUUUGGAUUCAUUUCAUUCCUUUAGAUGGUUUGUCAAAGACACUACAUAUAGGAUUGCUAUUGGAUAAUAAGAAGAUUGUCGUUGACACUUCUACUUUGGGCUGAAAAACACAAGUGAAAGACGAAAAUGUCUGUUGGCAAUUAACUGUCGCCGAUUAAAACACAUAAGUAAUAUUAUCAUGGCUCACGUUCUUUAUCAACUAAGUGGGAAAAGCAUGUGGAACUAUAGUCCCACAUAGCUCCAAUGUAGAUUCGCCCAUGCAGUGGAGCAAAUUAAGGUGGUUUCUUAGUAUGAAUAGGUUGAAAAUUCAUAUUUGUUUAUUCUAUGACUGGUGUUGGAAUCCAAUGGAUAGUUUAACUAGAUCAUUUUUUGAUAGGGGUUGUGUUUUGGGUGUGAUAGGCGAACCGUGUUUGGUUAGGGCUUGUUAUGGGUGUCACUUUUGUUUUGCGGAACUUAGGCUUUGUUUGUGAGUUUGGAGGGGAGAGGAAGGGAAGGCUUUGAGAGGUGGAAAAUAUGAGGGAAAAUUGAGAAAUAUGAUUUAAAUUUUUUAAACGAGUAGUUUUUUAGAGAAGGGUUUAGUAUUAUGAAGAAAAGUUAACCCCCAAAACUCUCCCCUCCCAUUUUUCUCUAUUUUUGCCACUGCUCAUUCCUUUUUUCCCUCCAGCUUGUUGAUAAUAAUAUAUGUUGAUUAAAAAAAACAGGAAUUGUUAGUAGUCUGCAAAUCAAAGAUCAAUACUAAAUGCAGAUACUUUAGUGUGAUAAUACCCUACCAUUAACCUUGAAUACAAAUUAAUCAGCUCUUACGUUCCGUAUAUUGCCAAUGAAUCUAAUAACUUUCUCAAAAAUAAAAUAGAAUAACAACUUAAACACAAAUACAGGAAUAUCCCAAAUCAGGACCCAUUUUGCAAAGUCUUGCUAACCUCAAAAUUUCCCUGUUAUAAUAAGAAACAAGUUUAUUUAUUUAUUUCUUAAUUAUAUCAUAAUAUUUGUACGAAGUUUUCACUGCAUGUUAGCAGUGAUUAAUCUCCGUCGAGGAACUUAUUAGACACACAAGAUAGAUUUUUCUUUCCAUCUAGAUUUUAUUCCAUACGCAUGAGCCAAAAAUUAUAUUGAACCCCUAAUCAGAUACUUAAGGGGUUUAAAUCUUUUACUACUUAAACCAAUUCAUUCCUGGUAACUAGUUUAAUUUAUAUUAAAUGAGAACUGAUAACAGAAUCAUUAAAAGAAGUGCGAAGAUAAAACAUGCAUUCCCAUCCAUAGUUAAUAUGGUUACACCAUAGUUAAUAGAAUUUGCCAUCUUAUAAAAUAAAUUGUAAAUACAUUUGUUUUAAAUCCUCUUAUAAAAAGAAAUUGUAAAUACAUUUGUUUUAAUUCAAAAAUCAUAUUUUAAAAUUUGAGGGUAUCAAAUACAAUUUCCACAUUGAUUAUGCUAUAAUUGUAAUAUAAAUUUUUGUUAACAAAAAAGAUCGUCCUAUCUUGUUUUUUAUUUAUAAUAAAAGUUGUCACAUCUUUGAUUUGUAAUAUAUACCAAUAUUUGUUUUUAUCAUUCAUUAUAUUUGUUGUCUUUUGGGAUUUUAUUUAUUAAAAAAAGGUUAAAAUAUAAAUAAAAACCUUUAAUGAACUUUCAUGAUCUUCAAAGAUUUUUGUUUGAUAUGUUUUUUAAGGUUAAGUAAUCAAUUGAGUGAUGUAAAAGAUGAACACGAUAUAUUAAUUAAAAACAUUUAAUAUUAAUUUCAAUUUUAUAAAUGACUUUUUUUUAAAAGAAAUUUUAAAUGACUUCUUGUAACUCCUAAAUGCUAAAUAAAAUUUAAUUGAAGCUAUUUCAGAACAUUAAAUUUUUAGUUAUAAAAGGGAUCAAACUUUUGUUUAUUUAUAACAUGCAAAGGAUGGAACAUAUGACUAAAAUUCAAUUUUGUGUUUAUGUUUUGAUCAUAUUUCUGUCUUUAUUUCUUGUUGUAACUUGUGGUAUGUCACUUUUACACCAUUUCAUAUUAACAAAAUUUUAUCAUUUUUAGUAACAUUCUCUUUGCUCAUCUGACAUUGCAGGUAAAGUUUACGAAUGUUAUAAUUACAUUGAUUGUCCAGUUGGUUGUCGCGCCUGUUAUAUGAGGUGCAUUGAUGGCCAGUGUAUUCCGUUUAUUAAAAAACUUAUAUUAUUUCAUUUGUACGUCAUAGUAGAGUAAGUAUUUGUAUUUUUAUAUAAUUUACCUCAAAGUUUGAUUUAUAAUUCUCAUUUUUUUUUAAGGUUAAAUAUGUUUUUAGUACUUAUAAAUGUGUCAACUUUUUGUUUUAGUUUCUCUAAAAUUUUCCUUCAACUUUUAGUCCCUAUAAAAUUUUCAAUCUUUACUUUUGGUCUCUCUUUUAAAGUAAACUCAUACGUAUAGAAUUCAUAUUUUUUAAUAAAAGUAUUCAGAAAAAUUCAUAAUAUUAUAAGAAUCACUCCAAAAAUAAAUUAGAAUUGUUUAACCAAACAUGAAUUUAAUAUGAAUUUUAAUAUUUUUGAAGGUUAAAAAUUCAUAUUUAAUUUGUGUUUUGUUAAAAAAUUCUAUUUUUUUUUAGAAAUUUUUUUUUGAAUAUUUUACACAUUUCUGCACAAUUUCAUUAAAAAAAUACAAAAAUUAAAUUAAAAAUAGGGACCAAAAGUAAUGAUUGAAAAUUUUAUAGGGACUAAAAGUUGAAGGAAAAAGUUUUGAGGGACUAAAACGAAAUAUUGACAUAUUUAUAGGGACAAAAAACAUAUUUAACCUUUUUUUUAUAUGCAUAAUGAUUUAUGUUUCUCUCGUAUUCUUGUAUAAUUAUAACUACUUUAAUAAAAAAAAAAUGAUUAUGAAGAUUAAUUAUUUAUUCUACUUCUAUGCUUGAUAUUCCUCUCACUCAAAUGACAUGUCACGAAAAACCUAUGAAAUUUUACUUUGCCACUUACAACCACCAAACGAUGAAGAUCAAAACGAGGUAUUCAGCGAACGCAAACAUUAAAUCAUAAAAGCGACGAGAUGUUUUUACAGUGACCAAAGCGAUGAUGAUGGAUUUCUCAAGUUAGGUCGUAGGGUACUGAUUUUAAAUUGUGUUAGUGUUGGUGUUGGGCUUUAGUGUUGUAGGUAUUGUGAAAGAAGAUUACACUACUUAAAAAACAAAAAUUAGUGAGGGAUAUUUAGUGAGGGAAAACAUGAAAUUCCUCUCUAAUUCCGGCACUAAAUUUUGCGACCAAGGAAUUUAUGAGGAAUUUCAUUUUUUCCGUCACUAAUUUCCCUCGCUAAUUUUGCUUUUUCUAGUAGUGGUUAAUGAUCGUGAUCUCUAAAAACAUCAAGUUGCUUCUGUAUAUGUUUACAUCUUUUGUCCUUGUUCUACAGUGACAAAAAUCCCUAAUUUGUUCAAAACUAAUAUUCUUAAUUAAAUUUUAGAUAUAAAAAUUAAAGUUCAUUUUUAAAAUACUCCAUAGAGUAAUAGCACCUACAUAGAGAAAAGAUGAUAUUAAAGUCACGACUCAAUUCUUAAUCGAAACUAAUCAAACAGAAAAAGAGCCAAGUUUGUGAUGUGAAAAUUGGUGAAGCCAUAGGUCUAAUUUAUAGUAAUUUUUAGAGGGUAAUUUGGUAAACUAAAUGGAUCUAAUUUGGCAUGAGAGUAAUUGCACGCGGUCGUUUUUAAUUUUCGGUUACAUAUAUUCUCUAACAUAAGUCUUACUAUUUUUUCUGUCCUUUUUAAUCAGUUUUAUUUCAUCAAUUUGCUAUUUUUUCGGUUGACUACUAUAUGCAUCCCUUACAUAUGGUCUUUCCUUUUUCUUUUUUCUUUGAGGGGAAGGUUUUUCCUUAUUAUUAAGGAAAAUCAAAUCAUAUUGUGUUUAAUUGUUUUAAUGCCACCUUGAAUAAAUUAUCUUUGACAUAAUUACAACCAAAUCAAUUGUUUCACAUCAUUUGUAAAAAAAUAAUUUGUCCAACAUCAUGAUUAUUAUUAAACUGGUGCUAGUCACACCCCAAAAAAAACAAGUUACACCCGAAUUUAUUUAAAAUUUUACAAUAAUACCAAAAUUGCCCUCUUCAUGUAAAUUUUUAAAAAUCCAUCUUUUAUGAUCAUUCUGAACCCUUAUCCCCUUUCAUCCACAAAUCACCAUAGAUGUGCAACCAAUAUCUGAAUCAACAUCUUUGUUAUUGAUCUGUACUAUAUUCAUAAAGGUUAGUGAAUUUCAUGAAUUUUAUUUUCGAUGAGUUUCUAUUUGUUUAUUGUUUGUUUUGGUAUGAGAUAUGUUCAAUUUAGGUUAGUGUAAAUUAAGUUUACUUAUGUUCAAUUUAGGUUAAUGUAAAUUUAGUUUACUUAUGUCAAUGUAAAUUAAGUUUACUUAUGUUCAAUUUAGGUUAAUGUAAAUUUAGUUUACUUAUGUUUAAUCUAGGUUAAUGUAAAUUUAGUUUACUUACGUUCAAUUUAGGUUAGUGUAAAUUCAGUUUACAUGUAUAUAAG
rnacentral:lncRNA from 1 species